CACUCUAUCUCUCUCAAUCUAGUAGAUUUAGUCUACUCUCACAUUGGAUGCUAAGCCCUAAGUCUAUUUAGAGGAAAGGUUAUCCUUCGAGGGCACCUCUCAACUCUAUGAUAAACUUGUUCUCCUCUAGGGGCCAGGGGGUCUGCUUAUAUAGUCCCCUCAAGUGAAUCUGGGCCAUCAGAUCAAACCGACAUUGAUUGAACGGUUAUCCUUGGUCCUUUAGGUCGGUGGAGCGUAAUCCGCGAGAUGGGUCCUGAUUGGACUCUGCACCAGGGCGGGCGCCCUAGGGGGGAGGGUGGGCGCCCUGCCCCCGGGCCCGAUCACCUUCCCAUUCGUUCCCAUGGCUUCUGGAGUCUUCUAGAUGAUACAAAAUUGCGCGGCAAGUUAAUAUCUCUAUGUAAACCUAACGUGUGGGCCUUUCUUCCAUAUUUCCUGAUAACCCCCUGCAAAAAUAGACAAACACCAAAACUCAUGGAAUUCUAUGAGUUAAAACCCUAAGUCUGGGUGUUUGUUGCAUUUGGAUCCUUUUCUUUAUUUAUUUGAUGAUUAUUUUUUGGUACUUAAGGACCAUCAACAACUCCCCCAAGCUUACCUCUUGCUCGUCCCUAAGCAAGGAUGAACUCAAGAGUUUCUGCAGUGGUUUCAUGCCUUAAAAGUACACAUGCAUUCAAGCAAGAUCUCAUCUCUGAGUUAGAAUAAACUGUUAAGACUUAAAACUUACUCAUUUCACCUUUCACCAUGGGGCUUGUAUCCGUCACUUGUGUCCUGAGCAGUUAAAAGAUAGAACAGUCUAGUCAAGUGUCAUGUCUCUUGUUCUUUGAUUAACUAUAGUUCUGGAUUUUUUGCAGAUUAUCAAAUAAAACUCAGAGAUUCCUUGUAUGUCUCUUUCAAAUCUCUCUUUUGUGGUAUUUCCGGAUCCUUACCAAGGCAGUGAUGGUAUAUGCCUUCUCUCAAAGUAUAUAUUAUUUUUGGUAUGAGGCAUAGUGAUAUUGCCUUCUCUCUCACUCUACUCUAAUAAGGUUUUGAUAUCUAGAGCUCAUAGGUGGGAGACAGAUUAAUACAUACUUACAAGACAUUUAUUGCAUAGUCAAACCAUAGAUCCAGUAGAACAAGUCAAUAAGUCAAAUCAAGAUGUGCAUGUGUGGCGAGUGAAUGGUGUAUGGUGAUGAUGGUGAUAAUAAUGGUGAAAGUCUAAUUCUAAUUUUGCUCUUUUUAGGGGAUCCAUACCUUUCUUGCUCUUUGAAGCUUUUUGAGGAGAAUGAGAUGCUCUAUAUUUUCUUUUUUUUUUCCUCUCAGGUGGGUAUCUUGUACCCCUAAUUCUAUUGUCAGACACUUAUCCAUUUUUACCUCUCACCUCACUUUUUCUUUUCUUCGAGGUUCCGGGCACUUGCCCCUUUUUAUUUCCUCGUAUCCUUUUUUUUAGAGCACUCAUCUCCUGAAAUAAUAUAACAAGUGGUAGUAACCAAGAUAACUCGAGCAUUUAUUUCACAGGGAAAAACAAAAAUGUUUUUGGCUAUUCUCUCCCAGAUUAGGAGUAGAAUACUUUUAGGUGGCUCUAGAGAUGGAAGUGAGUGGAUGUAUGUGGAUGCGUACUUCCGGAGUAGAAGUAGCAUGUGCGAGUGAACGUGCAAGUGAAUCUUGAUUUUAACCACAUGACAAGCUCCUAAGGGUGUACACAGCUUGACCACACUCAAUGCUCAUAAGCAGUAAAAAGUAAAUGUGUGGCUCAAAGUUUGGCAAGCAUGUAUAUAUGGCUGUGGUAGGAAUUUAAACUCUCAUCAUACAUGAACUCAUCAUGUGUUAUUUUAAAGAUUUUUCAAAGAUAAAAUUCUCUAGAAUUAUAGCAUCUCUAGGAACAGAUAAACAGCAGCUCAACCUUCCCAUUUCCCAUAUCAUAUCCGUUAACAACUUAGACUUUAGAUGAAGUACUCUUCCCACAAGUUCAGGUUUAGAGCAGAUUUAAAUUAUAACAGUUAUGCCUAAACUUGAGAGAAAGCUCAAACUUGAAAACUAGGUACAUGGCAGAGCAACUAUUUAUCAUAUCCAUGUAAGAGUUUAUCAUUAGGGUUCAUAGCAAACUUUAUUUACUAAUUUAUUUAGCAAACUAAGCAAAGAUAUAUAUAUAUAUAAGCACAAAAUUUUUAUUUGGGUUUUCAUGAUUAUGCAUCUUUUUAUUAUUUGAGUAAAGUAUAAACACGAGUAGAAACACUUAGUUGGAUAAAUAGGGGUGCUCUCCCCCAAGCUAGAUUUUGACGUAAUUUCUUCUCAUGUAGCUAGCAGGUGACGGAGGUGUAUUUGAAUGUCGGCAGUACCCUGACAGCGAUUAGAAUGUCCUCCGCCGGCUAGUCUUCUUUGAUCCUUGAAUUCUGUGGAGCUCAAACAAAGCUUUGUGGAACUGGUUAAGUGUUAGCAUAAAUAUCUAGCCUUUAUCAUAUUGAGCUUCCUCUAAUAAAUAUUACUUUCUUUGGUAGGAUCAUAAAUUUAUUUUUAUAUUCUCAUUUUUAUAGGACAGGAAUAUUUUUUAUGCCACCACAGUGAAUGUACUUAUCGGUUUUAUGCCAUGAGCAUACUCACAGGGUGCUUACUAUUUUUAACAUUUUUAUUUUCUUUUUGAGAUGAUAUGAACCUGAUUAACUAAGCAAACUAUUUUAAAUAAUUGAAGGGAAAAGGAUAACUACCAAGUUUACCUCUUGGCAAGGCGUUCAGUGUUUUUAAGUCCUCUGAACGGGACUCUCCAUUCAGUCGUCCUGGGAUUCGCUGGAUGGCGUAGUCGGGGGUUUCGGCGGCGCCUCAUCUUCGUGUAUAACUAUCUUCUCUCUUCAUACCUGACUCGGAGCUACGGUCUCCUCAAGACAGUUUUGUUCAAGCUGUAUGUCUUCAGACCUUACCACUUCUCCUUUGUAGUCUGCCCAUCCGUCCUUGAUGAUUUGCUUCCUCUUGUUGCGGUUGUGUCGUCUUCUUCUUGUCCUGACCUGCUUAGAGUCAGUAAAAUAGUGGCGUACCUUCUUAGAGGGGAAGUGCAUGUGGACUUCUCCGGUUCCAACGUAGAUGAUUGCUUUAACGGUGCUGAGGAACGGUCUCUCAAGGAUGAUGGGCGGAUCAUACUCGUCUUCUCCCAUCUCAAUAACCUUCAACCUUUCGGAAUGUCUGAUCUGCCAUCUGGAGCUGGGUCAUCCUUUUUGGUCAGAAACGGUGACUUAAGUCGACGAUCUUGACAUCCUUAAAAUGCAGUGACCAUCUUAGCUGACUCGGUCCACAUUUGCUUAUUCCUGUUCCUCCUGUUGGUCCUCUUCCUUGGUUCUUCUCUGAGAUUUGUGUAGUCUUGUUCGUGAAGGAAAACAUCUCCUUCCUCCCUUUGAUGUAGAAACUGAUCUUGGCGGCACUAGCGUAGAUGACAACUCCUGAGGUGUUCAGGAAUGGCCUCCCUAGGAUGAUGGGUGCCCUCUCAUCAGUACCAAUCUCUAUCACCAUGAAGUCUUGAUUUUGUUGAGGACGGUUGUAGUAGUAGUUGUUGUUGUUGUAAUUUACGUCCUCAAGCAUCUCAGGGCAGUGAUUGCCUGAGUAUCUAGUAUCUCUAGUGUUUUUGUGCUCGUAGAUCCAAGCCCUUCACUUGGUGGAGUCUGAGAGUUGUAGAACUCCUUCAGGUUUUGCUCGAAGUGUACCUGCUCAUAGAGACAAGGCAGAGAUCAAGUGCAUGGGCCUUGUUGGUGAAAAACACCAACAGAACCAAAAGUGUAUUUGUUCUUCUCUAACCUUAAACAUAGUGAGCAAGACAAAGUUGAUGGAUAAUAAGAUCAUGAGUGUAGCAUUUAAAACAUUUGUCAGAUCAGAUUGCUCCACGUAAUGGAAAGAUAAUCUAUCUAUAUUUAUGUUUUGCUUAUAUCUUCCAAAGAUUGAAUGUGCAACAUUUUAGCUUAUAUGAUUAGGAGUGUGGGAUCACGAAGGUAGUACUAGGAACAAAGAUUAAAGGACUAAACAUGCUGAAUCAGUUGGGUUCGUUAAUUUGGAGUUAUAAAUCAUACAUGUUUGUCUCUUUAUUUAUGUGAACGCCAGAACCAAGGAUAAGUUUAUAAAAGCGAUAGUCAAGUACCUUAAGAUGUUACCUUAAUUGAAGAGUGAUGCUACCAUCUCACCUUGUGGAAGCUUCCCAUUCGUAAUGGGUGUGUAUCUUGUUUAUGUACUUUGUCUCCUUCCACGGAUCAUCUCUCUAUGAUGAAUGAGCUAUGUCUUCGUUGUGUAAAUCGUUAAAUUUCAGGUGUCUCCUUUAUCUUCAAUGUGAGUUUGUAUCUCAGGACUUCCCAGGUUGAUAUUGAAAGUUUUCCUGCAGGGGUUAGUCCGACAAAAUAUACCAAUGCCUACUCAAAUAGUUUUUAGUUCAGUUACCAAACUAGACUCUAUGUCUAAUCAGAUUAAAGAAGGCUAUUUAACCUAAGCACCACGCUUAAUUUAAAUGCCAAUGGGAGUAUGUCCAGUACUUCCAAACCAACACUUACUAGGAUAAACAUAGGUCGCAUGAUGGCUUUUAUAGAGAUCUACUCAAGUGGAGAUGAAGUAGUGUGACUAGUAUUUAACAAAUCAAGCAUGUCUCAAAGGUAGGGACAACCAACAUAGCAACUUGGCAAAGGAUGGUUUCAUGUGAAGUACUCCCCCAAGCUUGAAUUUUGCAAAAUUCAAGAUUGGAUGAAUUAUAAUUCAAUGUUGCAUGAUGAUUGGUUGGGCAUACCUUGCGCUUGUCAUUCCUCAGAUCUUCUUGCUCCAAUCCAAGAAAGAUUAGUGACAAGAAUACCCGAAGGAAUAUUUCUACAAUUAUCUUUAUAUGCUCAAUACACAAGGCAAUGUUGCAAAUAAUUAGAAAUUCAUGUUACGAUCUGAUAAGUGCUUGUUUUAGGACACUAAGCUUGUCCUUGGGAAACCAUCAAUUUAUGUCGGCGAAGUGGUUUCCCCUCAAACGCUGACCUAUAUCAAGAUCAACGAGAUCUGCAAUAUUUAUUAUAGACAUAUACAUCGACAACCGCCCUUUUAAAGUUUUUACAAAAAAGGAAGAGGGGGUUGGAGAUCUCAAAUGUGGUGAUGUUGGAGAGACCAAUAGAUUGGGAAGGUGUUGCAUAUGAACAUGGAGUAAACGAAGUGGCUAUGAAAUAAAUUCCAUGCUCAUUAAUGUUAUCUUCGUCUCCAAACUGAAUGUUUGGAGUUUCUCCUAGAUUGGUCUCGCCUAUGUCCUCUUCUGUAGUAGGAUGAAUCUCAUCUUCAAAGGGAGUCAAGAACUCACCAUUUGAAAUUGAGCCAAAGUCAGAAUCCAUUAAGGCUUGUUCCUUGUCCAUCCACUCAAUGGUGAUAGCACAUGGAUUAUUAAUGCCCUCUAGCCAUUGAUGUUGCUCUUCUCGAUCCUCCUUGUGGUCUUGGUGACUCUUAUGCAUGGGAUGUCUAGAGAGAUUCAUAGGAUCAUCGGGAGGUUCAAGAGAAAGAGCAUGGUAGAAUUUAUUAAGCUCAAGGAUGGGUUGGAUAGCCGAAUCAUGGGAUUGAAAUGUUUGGAAAUUGGCUAUUGAAACUUCCUUUCCUCGUCUGGGAGAUGAUUCCUUCUCUAUCUCUAAGAUUUUUCUAUGAAGACUAGUACAAGAAGGAUGUCGACGAAUGAAGACAUACCUUGCUUUACUAACAGAUAAAGAAAGAAAAACUCUACCAAAGGGUAUAUGAUUAAGACAAAUGUGAAAAUAUCGAGGAAAAACUGGGUCUUGUAGGCUAGGUUUAAACCAAAAUUUAUAGAAAGAUUAACAGAUUCCCUAGGUGUACCUAAAAGUUCAUUAUCUUUUUGAUUAAAAGAUAGGACCUCAGCUAUAGAAAAGGGUUGGUUUUGACCUAUUGCAAUCAACUCCGGACAUAGAUCAUAAUUAGGGGCAAAGAAAGGACUUGUUGACUCCCAUGGUCUAUGGCUGGUCUCCGAAGGUGCAAAAAAUUCAAUAAUAGGUGUGGAAUUUGAGUUAUCCAUAAAGAUGUAAAAAAUAAAAAGAUAAAAAAAGUAUAAAAGUAUAAUACAAGAUAAUAGCAAGAUUAAAAGUUAUCUCAGCAAACCGUCUUUCUCCCUGGUAACGGCGCCAGAAAUGCUUGUUGAUAUUUGGUAACGCCAUCAGGAAAUGAUCCGCAAGCGCACGGAUAUCGGUGAGCACUUCACCCGGGAGGUUAUCCAGAGUAUCGUAUUUAUGUUUUUACCACUCGGAGAAAGCGUGCAUCUGACUAACCAAAUCUAUUGCUACUACCCUUUAGGUUACAAAGAAUAUGAUUCGACGUGAGCGAUGUAUAGAGAAGACUGCAACCGUAGUCUCAUUCUAACCUUGGUAAGGAUGAUCUACUGUUCUAUUGGGGAGGCUUACGGAAUCCAGACACCACAGAGGAUGUUCGACCCGCACCUAUAAACCCUACCGUCCUGCUAACGAGAUGUGGGCUGCAAAGGUAACUCGGAAAUGUCACGUUCCUCGCUACUACCACGGUCCAGCUAGUCAGGGGAUAUCUAUGAGUACCCUAGCCAAACAACACGUUUACGCUAGCAAUGAUUACUCUAAACUCAACCGGAAGAGAUUAAAGUAAACUCAUAAACCAAAGAACAAUAAAACAAGAACUUACUAGAAUUUAGAAGUCGAAUUACUGAAGAAUCCUAGGAGCACGCCUCGGGUUAGGAGAACAUGAUCCCGUAGGUACAACCUCGGAGUAGACACCGACAGGCCGGGCUUCCUCUGAUCUACACCUCCACUCUAUCUCUCUCAAUCUAGUAGAUCUAGUCUACUCUCACAUUGGAUGCUAAGCCCUAAGUCUAUUUAGAGGAAAGGUUAUCCUUCGAGGGCACCUCUCAACUCUAUGAUGAACUCGUUCUCCUCCAGGGACCAGGGGGUCUGCUUAUAUAGUCCCCUCAAGUGAAUCUGGGCCGUCGGAUCAAACCGACAUUGAUUGAAUGGUUAUCCUUGAUCCUUUAGGUCGGUGGAGCGUAAUCCGCGAGAUGGGUCCUGAUUAGACACUGCACCAGGGCGGGCGCCCUGCCCUCGGGCCUGAUCACCUUCCUGUUCGUUCCCAUGGCUUAUGGAGUCUUCUAGAUGAUAGAAAAUUGCGCGGCAUGUUAAUAUCUCUAUGUAAACCCGACGUGUGGGCCUUUCAUCCAUAUUUCCGGAUAACCCCCUGCAGAAAUAGACAAACACCAAAACUCAAGGAAUUCUAUCAGUUAAAACCCUAAGUCUGGGUGUUGGUUGCAUUUGGAUCCUUUUUCUUUAUUUAUUUGAUGAUUAUUUUUUGGUACUUAAGGACCAUCAAUAGCAGCUCAAGACCUUCCUGAAAGAGCAUCUAGGCCCCUAAUGAGUUUCGGUGAUUAAUGAUAAUGUUGAUUACUGUGACUAACAUGUGUUUUGCAGAGGCAAAGUUAUUAGUGUUAGGCCAUGGUAAUAUUUACUCGAUGAACGGGGACGUACAUGCCUAUUUAAUAGUGGAAAUCGUUUUGGUUUUCAUAGGAUGGAUGGACAUCAUCAAGACUAGACUAGGUCUAAGUGCCAUAUGGUGAAGGAGGGCACUUAGAGUAGUUUAGGACUUUGUUUUCCUUUUGACCAUACUAUUAAGAGGGGCUUUGAUCUAGUAGCUUGACUUAAGCAAGGCUCUAGGUUUAGGUGUGGUGCACACUUCGUAAACCUAGCACUAGGCAGCUCAGAGAUAGUCCUUAGAUCGAGAGGAACAAACUUCAUUUUGGAACGGUCGCGUUUCGACGAAGUUUGGGUGCCUAAGUAGGCACCGGACGCUGCACCGGACGCUCUGUGAGUGCGUCCGGUGAGGUCGUUUUGAGUGAGAGUGCCUGAUGUUGAUAUAUGGUAACGCCAUCAGAAAAUGAUCCGUAAGCGCACGGAUAUCGGGAGCACUUCACCCGAGAGAUUAUCCAAAGUACCGUAUUUAUAUUUUUACCACUAGGAGAAAGCGUGCAUCUGAUUAACCAAAUCUAUUGCUACUACUCUUUAGGCUACAAAGAAUGUGACUCGAUGUGAGCGAUGUAUAGAGAAGACUGUAGCGGUAGUCUCGUUCUAACCUUGGUAAGGAUGAUCUACUGUUCUAAUGGGGAAGCUUACGGAAUCUAGACACCACAGAGGAUGUUCGACCCGCACCUAUAAACCCUACCCGUCCUGGUAACGAGAUGUGGGCUGCAAAGGUAACUCGGAAAUGUCACGUUCCUUGCUACUACCACGGUGCAGCUAGUCAGGGGAUAUUUAUGAGUACCCUAGCCCAAACACCACAUUUACGCUAGCAAUGAUUACUCUAAUCUCAACCGGAAGAGAUUAAAGUAAACUCAUAAACCAAAGAACAAUAAAACAAGAACUUACUAGAAUUUAUAAGUCGAAUUAUUGAAGAAUCAUAGGAGCAAGCCUCGGGUUAGGAGAACCUGAUCUCACAGGUACAACCUCGGAGUAGACACCGACAGGCCGGACUUCCUCCGAUCUACACCUCCACUCUUGUAAUACCCGAUUUUAAGGAUAAAAUCAGAUAUGCACCAUAUGUGAUUCUUAAAAGCCAAAUCUCACAUAUAGCUACAAAUGAGGGGUAAAAUCAAAAGACAAUGCAUAAAUAUAACAUACAUAGUAUAAAAGAUAUAACCUUUGAUAGCAAACAGCGGAUAGACAACUCCAAACUUCGGGUAUUAACUUCACUCUACAGGAUCCAACUGACUGGUUGAUCACAAGCCUAAAACAUCUCCUGAAGGGUGGGGAAAUAGCAAGAGUGAGUCCAUAUCGAACUCCACAAGUAUAGCAACUAGAUUGUAUAGCUCCCACAAUCUCAUGAUCAAUGUGACAUAAGUAAUAUAAAGCAUUAAAUAAUAAAUAAUGAACAUAUAUAACACACAAGAAUCAUCAUCGUCGAUGCAAGAAUCCCCAAGGCCGCUCUUGACCGUGAGCACGACUAGUAUACCAGUUUUAACACUCUGCAGAGAUUGUACAUCUUUACCCAUGAGUCAUGAUUUAUCCUUUCGCCCGAGGUAGCUAAUCUCUUAACCCCCUUCCUAGGGAGGUCGGCAGGGAUCACUAUGAAGCCUUUAAAAGGUUUCGUCUAACAAGUUAGGGCCAUUAGAUUCACUCGGCAGGCAGAUAUAGAGCCCCCCUUCCAUGGCACAUAACCCGCAGCCUAUACACACAGACAGAGGCCGCACUAUACCCAACGUGUCUAGCCAUUCUUACGCCAUUUAAGGUAACCGCUAACAAGCUAGAAAAAGGUCCUCAUACCGAGCUAAAGCCAGAGCCAUUAUAGCCCUCAUGGUUGCACUGUUGUCCCGGUUAUCACUUACACAUAAAACAUCAAGUUGCUAAAAAGUUAUUUUUAUCAUUUAUUACUUAACAUUAAUCAAGUCACAAGAUCAUGGUCACAGAAAUAAAAUCCAAAUUCUAUACUUGCCUUGAUCCAAUUGCUCUUGCUGAUCCUGUUGGUCUUACUAGUUGUCCAAGCUCUGAUCUUGAUCACUGAAGCACUCUUGAUCACCACGAAUUACUCACCGACUAAACUCGAUCAUCGAUCAACCACACACAAUCAUCUGGAGACAAACAUACACGAAGCAAACAAAGCUACAAUUAGAACAGUACACCAAUCAUAUAAAAAUAGUAUGAAAAGUUUAUAAAAUGAUUCUACGCAUCGCUACGAUUUCACAGACGUAAUGAUCAUGAAAAUCGGAAUUAAAACGUAGAAGUUAUGAAUUUUCUAAGAUUUCCUAUACAUAAAUAAUUAAUUAAUUAGGGUCAUGAAAAUAAAAAGUUUCAAACUGGUGAAUUAUGUUUACUAAUAUAUAGAGCUCAUUAAUACGAAUCUAACAAAAUUUGAAUGGACAAAAACGGAGUUCAAAUGAUUAAACUGCGCAUGAUUAAAGGUAGACCGAUUAAAGUAAUGGUAGAAGAUUUUGGAAAACUACCAUAACAUGCCUAGUGUUGUUUCCAUCAUGCCUGGUUGCCACUCGAUGUCCAGGAGACUCAUUGGCCAUAGCUUGCAAAGGCCGGAGGACAGCUGCAGGCAGCAUGUGCGGCGCACAGGCAACAACGUUGAAUUAGACGGCAACAAAAGGACAUGGGCUUAGCUUCAGGACUAGACGUGCGGCAAGUGCAGAUGAAAAGGAGGCAUCCUGUUCCUUCGUGACUUGAUGUUUAGCUUGCUGAACGAGAGAUCAGAUACUGAAUAGAAAGAAAAGAAGCAAAACAAAUGAUGAGUACUUAACAAAGAGGGAGUCACGCACCAGAAGAGACGAUUAUGAUGAGCACAGGCGAUGGACUGGAGAGAUAACGAAAAAAAUAUAAUUUACUACCGUGAAAUUCCCAGACUAGAGGUUCCAUUUACGGUAUUUUUGUGUUUCUCCUAAAGGGUUGGUACAUAUAUAUGUGGAGGAAAACUCUCCACAUCUACAUCAAUUAGCAAUAUGCUACUAAUUAAUGUUACCCCUUCCACCUUUACUAAUAGGCCUAAUUAAUUAUUAAAGCCCACUAGUAAAUAAAUACAUUGGCCUUUGAGAUCAUGGGUUCAGCGUUGGGUAGAAUGAAAGAUUUAUUAUUUUCAAAAUUAAUUAUUUUUGUGAAUAAGAUAUUUCUAGAAAAGUCUAGAAUUAUUAUUUAAUUCAUGAAAAAUAUUUCAAAAGCUUUGAAAAUUCGGGAAAAAUUCUCGGAUAUAUUAUGAAACAUGAGGAACCCAAAUAAAGUAUUUGGAGCUCAUGAUAAGAUAAUUUGGAGCAUCUAAAAAUUAGAUUCUGCUCACAGUUAAGUGGGAACAAGUUCCACAAAAAGUGUUAAAAUAAUUCUUGGUCAGUUUUUAGAGAUUGAUUGAUGGUUGAGGAACUAAAAGGAAUGAUUUGGGUUACAAAGAAAAGAUUUUGUGAAACUCGAAGCAAAAGCAUAGGCUAGAAAACAAGGAAUUUGAUUGUAGAAAAAAAUAUAAAUCCGUGCCGAAGAAGGGAGAUCGACCUACUAACAUAUUUUAAACACUCCACUCACUGACAACACACAAAGGAGCAAGAAGCAAACAUUACAUCAAAUCUUAUGCACCAGCAUGUAUGCACAACAAUAUUGCUAUGCUUUAUGAUAAAUUUUAAUUUACUAAAAAAUGUUAUUUUUCCUAUAUUUUCAUGAGCUCAAAAAUACCAAAUGAAAUUAUUUUAGCUCUAUUUUGAAAGGACCAAAUUUUGGGGUGUUACAAUUCUACCCCCCUUAAGAUGAAUCUCGUCCUCGAGAUUCAGAUCAUGGUGAUCAAAGAGAUAUGGAUACUCCAACUUUAUAUCUUCUUAACUUCCUUAGCCAUGUCCAGGAGUUUGACAGUACCUAUAUGCAGGGUUCUCCUUUAUUCUUAACUCCUCCAAAGCCAUCUCUCUUCUAGAGGCCCACAAACAUUCCUUCAACAAUGACAUGUUAGACGCAUCAGGUAUUCCUAAUCAACACUUGGUAUCUUUUGACUGUUAAGCUACUUUUCAUUUUUAGCAACCCCAACUGAGUUCUUGCAGCAAGGUGUUAGCUUAUUCUUCACUUCAACACUGCUUAUGCUUCUCAUAUCCUUUUUAGACGCUACACAUCAUAUAGUCUUUUAAAUUCGCUUGUACCAAGUCUAUUAAUCCAAAGUUAGUUUCAUCACUAAGUUCCAUCUGUUGGUACCUUUAUCACAAUUAAGUUGCUUCACUCUCACAUUGUACAUAUAUCUUUGUAGACUUUGGUGUCAUCUGAUUCUCAUACACAACUCUUAAUCCAUGAGUAUCAGUAAUGACAUAAACCUCCAUUGGUAUUAGCACACUCCAGAUGGAAUGAUAUCUUGAAACAAACCAACAUACCAAGCACUUAAUGUCCUUGUAGAUGUUAUAGUCAUUAACCACUUCUUCUCCUUGUAGUUCUUUAAUUGGGCUACCCCCUUAAGAGAGGUCAACUAGGGGACCAAGAACGGUAUCUUUCAUGUUUUCCAGACAAGUUAACUAACAUUGAGAACUCCUGACAUUCCAAAGAACUUAUGUGCAAUGGAGCAAACAAGUAUCCUGAAAUUUCCUCGCGAUAUGAAAUCACCAGCGUAGUAAAAUGGACAUAACUCUUAUUCCGUGAAUCCUAGAGUUGUAGCUUAUACCGUUAGAAAACAUAUGAAAUUACCUACAACUUUCUUGUAGAAUUCCUCCUUAGGUUCUGUCUUUAAGCUUAGGUAAAUCAACCAAACUUAAUAUCCAUCCAGACAAUGUCUCAGCAAGGGUGCAGUAUCUACCAAAAGUUAUAUCUCGAGCUACAGAACUCAUAUGAUGAUGGUCCUUAUAUUGUUGAAAAUUUUAUAAAAUCCUCUACAACAUUCGUAUACAACCUUUUCCCAGAUUCUGACUUUAACUUGGCUGAAAAUAGGAAAUGCCAGAUCUGUCUAGAUCUUGAAACUGAACAGAAACAUCCAAGUGUAAAUAUCAUAUCUCAGGUUCUUCUUGUCCAAAUGUGUUCCAGCUUAUACUGUUGGAAAGCUUAGAAAAGUGUAUACAACCUUUCUAUAGACCACUUUUCCAAAUUCUAUACCUAUAUUUGUCUAAAACAGUAGGCAACCAAAACUGGUCCAGAUUCUUGACAGCACAUCUGUACCAUAAUGUGAUUUUUGGAACUUCCAAACCAUAAUAGCUGUGAGGGUGAUUCUUGUGGUCAGAGAAAGAUCUUGAAGUCUAGUUGUUCCCAGAAAAUUUUGAUAAACUUUGCACAAUCAGAACUUGUGAUACACCAGCAUCAUUGCGGACUGCUCUAGAAAUCAGCAAGGGAUAGAAACAAGAGAUAGCCAAACCCAACUACUUAUUUCAUUAAUCCUUAUGCCUUAGGCCUAUGAACUAAUGAAAUUGUGAGGAAAUCCCACAAGAUCAUUGCACUCAUUACAAAGAUCCAAAUCAAGCAUAAACAUAAUAACAAACCAAUUAAGCAUUAAAGGUUCACACUUCACUCAACUUGCGAUAUUAUCGUUCUCUUCAUAGAAAGGCAAAGAUCCUAAAACUUAUAUUUCAAAGACGCAAGAAGGUGGUAAGAAAAGGUUCUAAUAGCAUACCAAAUCAAGGAGUGAAGGUGAGAACAAGUACUUUUAAAAUAAGCAACAAGGUAGAGACAAAUAGCAGGGAUAGGGACAUAGCAUGGAUGAAAAUACCAAGGUUUAUAGAGCAAGGAUUUUAUGACAAUUUCAAAACCUUAAGACGACCAAUUUCUAACUAGGCUUGCGUCCUACAGUCAGUAUUGCUUUGAUACCACUUUGUAAUACCCGAUUUUAAGGACAAAAUCAGAUAUGCACCGUCUUAAAAGCCAAAUCUCACAUAUAGCUACAAAUGAGGGGUAAUAUAAAAAGACAAUGCAUAAAUAUAACGUACAUAGUAUAAAAGAUAUAACCUUUGAUAGCAAAUAGCGGAUAGACAACUCCAAACUUUGGGUAUUAACUUCACUCUACAGGAUCCAACUGACUGGUUGAUCACAAGCCUAAAACAUCUCCUGAAGGGUGGGGGAAAUAGCAAGAGUGAGUCCAUGUCGAACUCCACAAGUAUAGCAACUAGAUUGUAUAGCUCCCACAAUCUCAUGAUCAAUGUGACAUAAGUAAUGUAAAGUAUUAAAUAAUAAAUAAUGAACAUAUAUAACACACAAGAAUCAUCAUCGUCGAUGCAAGAUCCCCAAGGCCGCUCUUGACCGUGAGCACGGCUAGUAUACCAGUUUUAACACUCUGCAGAGGUUGUACAUCUUUACCCAUGAGUCAUAAUUUACCCUUUCGCCCGAGGUAGCUAAUCUCUUAACCCCCUUCCUAGGGAGGUCGGCAGGGAUCACUAUGAAGCCUUUCAAAGGUUUCGUCUAACAAGUUAGGGCCAUUAGAUUCACUCGGCAGGCAGAUAUAGAGCCCCCUUCCAUGGCACAUAACCCACAGCCUAUACACAUGGACAGAGGCCGCACUAUACCCAACGUGUCUAGCCAUUAUUACGCCAUUUAAGGUAACCGCUAACAAGCUAGAAAAAAGUCCUCAUACCGAGCUAAACCCAGAGCCAUUAUAGCCCUCAUGGUUGCACUGUUGUCCUGGUUAUCACUUACAGAUAAAACAUUAAGUUGCUAAAAAGUCAUUUUUAUCAUUUAUUACUUAACAUUAAUGAAGUCACAAGAUCAUGGUCAUAGAAAUAAAAUCCAAAUGCUAUACUUGACUUGAUCCAAUUGCUCUUACUGAUCCUGCUGGUCUUACUAGUUGUCCAUGCUCUGAUCUUGAUCACUGAAGCACUCUUGAUCACCACGAAUUACUCACCGACUAAACUCGAUCAUCGAUCAACCACACACAAUCAUCCGGAGACAAACAUACACGAAGCAAACAAAGCAACAAUUAGAACAGUACACCAAUCAUAUAAAAACAGUACGAAAAGUUUAUAAAAUGAUUCUACGCAUCGCUACGAUUUCACAGAUGUAAAGAUCACGAAAAUCGGAAUUAAAACGUAGAAGUUAUGAAUUUUCUAAGAUUUCUUAUAGAUAAAUAAUUAGUUAAUUAGGGUCACGAAAAUAAAAAGUUUCAAACUGGUGAAUUAAGUUUACUAACAUGUAGAGCUCAUUAAUACGAAUCUAACGAAAUUUGAAUGGACAAAAACAGAGUUCAAAUGAUUAAACUGUGGAUGAUUAAAUGUAGACCGAUUAAAGUAAUGGUAGAAGAUUUUGGAAAACUACCAUAACAUGCCUAGUGUUGUUUCCAUCAUGCCUAGUUGCCACUCGAUGUCCAGGAGACUCAUUGGCCAUUGGCCAUAGCUUGCAAAGGCCGGAGGACAGCUGCAGGCAGCACGUGCGGCGCACAGGCAACAACGAUGAAAUAGACGGCAACAAAAGGAGAUGGGCUUAGCUUCAGGACUAGACGUGCGGCAAGUGCAGAUGAAAAGGAGGCAUCCUGUUCCUUCGUGACUUGAUGUUUAGCUUGCUGAACGAGAGAUCAGAUACUGAAUAGAAACAAAAUAAGAAGCAAAACAAAUGAUGAGUACUGAACAAAGAGGGAGUCACGCAGCAGAAGAGACGAUGAUGAUGAGCACAGGCGAUGGACUGGAGAGAUGACGAAAAAAAUAUAAAUUACUACCGUGGAAUUUCCAGACUAGAGGCUCUAUUUACGGUAUUUUUCUGGUACAUAUAUAUAUGGAGGAAAAUUCUCCACGUCUACAUCAAUUAGCAAUAUGGUACUAAUUGAUGUUGCCCCUUCCACCUUUACUAAUAUGACUAAUUCAUUAUUAAAGCCCACUAGUAAAUAAACACAUUGGCCUUUGAGAUCAUGGGUUCAGCGUGGUGUAGAAUGAAAGAUUUAUUAUUUUCAAAAUUAAUUAUUUUUGUGAAUAAGAUAUUUCUAGAAAAGUCUAGAAUGAUUAUUUAAUUCAUGAAAAAUAUUUCAAAAGCUCUGAAAAUUCGGGAAAAAUUCUCGGAUAUAUUAUGAAACAUGAGGAAUCCAAAUAAAGUAUUUGGAGCUCAUGAUAAGAUAAUUUGGAGUAUCUAAAAAUUAGAUUAUGCUCACAGUCAAGUGGGAACAAGUUCCACAAAAAGUGUUAAAAUAAUUCUUGGUCAGUUUUUAGAGAUUGAUUGAUGGUUGAGGAACUGAAAUGAAUGAUUUGGGUUACAAAGAAAAGAUUUUGUGAAACUCGAAACAAAAGCAUAGGCUAGAAAACAAGGAAUUUGACUGUAGAAAUAAAGAUAAAUCCGUGCCGAAGAAUGGAGAUCGACCUACUAACGUAUUUUAAACACUCCACUCACUGUCAACAAACAAAGGAGCAAUAAGCAAACAUUACAUCAAAUCUAAUGCACUAGCAUGUAUGCACAACAAUAUUGCUAUGCUUUAUGAUAAAUUUUAAUUUACUAAAAAAAUUGAUUUUUCCUAUAUUUUCAUGAGCUCAAAAAUACCAAAUUAAAUUAUUUUAGUUCUAUUUUGAAAGGACCAAAUUUUAGGUUGUUACAACUCUAUCUCUCUCAAUCUAGUAGAAUUUAGAAGAACUAAUUCUACUCUCACAUUGGAUGCUAAGCCCUAAGUCUGUUUAGAGGAGAGGUUAUCGUUCGAGGGCUCCUCUCAACUCUAUGAUGAACUUGUUAUCCUUGAUCAAACCGACAUGGGGGGCCAGGGGGUCUGCUUAUAUAGUCCCCUCAAGUGAAUCUUGGUCGUCGGAUCAAACCGACAUUGAUUGAACGGUUAUCCUUCAUCCUUUAGGUCGGUGGAGCGUAAUCCCCAAAUAGAGUCCUGAUUGGACUCUAGGACAGGGCGGGCGCCCUAGGGGGGAGGGCGGGCGCCCUACCCUCGGGCCCGUUCGCUUUCCCGUUCGUUCCUGUGGCUUCUGGAGUCUUCUAGAUGACAGAAAAUUGCGAGGCACGUUAAUAUCUCCAUGUAAACCCGACGUGUGGGCCUUUCUUCCGUAUUUCCUGAUAACCCCCUACAGAAAUAGACAAACACCAAAACUCGUGUAAUUCUGUCAGAUGAAACCCUAAGUCUGGGUGUUGGUUGCAUUUGGACCCUUUUCUUUAUUUAUUUGAUGAUUAUAUUUGGUACUUAAGGACCAUCAACAACUCCCCCAUGCUUACCUCUUGCUCGUCCUUGAGCAAGGAUGAACUCAAGAGUUUUUGCAGUGGUUUCAUGUCUUAAAAGUAAGAUCUCAUCUUUGAGUUAGAGUAAACUGUUAAGACUUAAACCUCACUCAUUUCACCUUUCACCAUGGGGCUUGGAACGGUUACUUGUGUCUUGAGCAGUUAAAAGAUAGAACGGUCAAGUCAAGCGCCAUGUCUCUUAUUCUUGAUCAGCUAUAGCUCUGGAGUUUUUGCGGAUUUUCAAAUAAAACUCAGAGAUUCCUUGUAUGACUCUCUCAGAUCUCUUUUUUGUGGUAUUUCUGGAUCCUUUCCAAGGCGGUAAUGGUAUAUGCAUGCUCUCAAAGUAUGUGGCAUUUUUGGUAUGAGGUAUAGUGAUAUUGCCUUCUCUCUAACCCUACUCUAAUAAGGUUUUGGUAUCUAGAGCUCAUAGGUGGGAGACAGCUAAUACAUACUUACAAGAUAUUUAUUGCAUAGUCAAACCAUGGAUCCAGAAGAACAAGUCAAUAAGUCAAAUCAAUAUGUGCAUGUGUGGCGAGUGAAUGGUGUAUGGUGAUGAUGGUGAUAACAAUGGUGAAAGCCUAAUUCUAUUUUUGCUGUUUUGUGGGGAUACAUACCUUUCUUGCACUUUGAAGCUUUUUGGGGAGAAUGAGAUGCUCUAUAUUUUCUUUUUCUUUCCUCUCAGGUGGGUAUCUUGUACUCCUAAUUCUACUGUCGGACACUUGUCCAUUUUGACCUCCUCGUCUCACUUUUUCUUUUCUUCGAGGUUUCGGGCACAUGCCACUUUUUAUUUCCUCGUAUUUUUCCUUUUUCUAUUUUUUUUUCUUCUUCUCUUUUUUUAGAGGACUCAUCUCCUGAAAUAAUAUAGCAAGUGGUAGUAACCAAGAUAACUCGAGUAUUUAUUCCACAAGGAAUAACAGGGAUAGGAUAAUGUUUUUGGCUAUUUUCUCCCGGAUUAGGAUUAGAAUACUUUUGGGUGAAUCUGGAGAUGGGAAUGAGUGGAUGUAUGUGGAUGCGUACUUCCAGAGUAGAAGCAGCAUGUAUGAGUGAACGUGCAAGUGAAUCUUGAUUUUAACCGCAUGACAAGCUCCUAAGGGUCUACACAGCUUGACCACACUCAAUGCUCAUAAGCAGUAAAAAGUAAAUGUGUGGCUCAAAGUCUAGCAAGCAUGUAUAUAUGGCUGUGGUAGGAAUUUAAACUCUCAUCAUACAGGAUGUUAUUUUAAAGAUUUUCAAAGAUAAAAUUCUCUAAAAUUCUAGCAUCUGUAGGAACAGAUAAACAGGAGCUCAACCUUCCCAUAUCAUAUCCGUUAACGACUUAGGCUUCACAUCAUGUAUUCUUCCCACAACUUCAGGUUUAGAGCAGGUUUAAAUUAUAACAGUUAUGCCUAAACUUGAGAGAGAGCUCAAACUUAAAAACUAGGUACAUGGCAGAGCAACUAUUAAUCAUUUCCAUGUGAGAGUUUAUCAUUUAAGUUCAGUUUGGCCUAAACACUUUAUUUAUUUAUUUAGCAAACUAAGCAAAGAUAUAUAUAAGCACAAAAAUUUUUAUUUGGGUUUUCAUGAUUAUGCAUCUUUUUAUUAUUUGAGUAAAGUAUAAACGCGAGUAGAAACACUUAGCUAGAUAAAUGGGGGUGCUCUCCCCCAAGCUGGAUUUUGACGUAAUUUCUUCUAAUGUAGCUAGCAGGUGGUGGAGGUGUAUUUGAAAGUUGGCAACACCCUAACAGCAAUUAGGAUGUCUUCCGUCUGCUAGUCUUCUUUCAUCCUUGAUUUCUAUGGAGCUCAAAUAGACAACAAAGCUUUGUGGAACUAGUUAAGUGUUAGCAUAAAUAUCUAGCCUUUAUCAUGAUGAGCCUCCUCAAUAAAUGUUACUCUCUUUAGUAGGAUCAUAAAUUUAUUUUUAUAUUCUUAUUUUUAUAGGACAGGAAUAUAUUUAUUUUAUUUUUACGCCACCAUAGUGAAUGUACUUAUGGGUUUUAUGCCAUGAGCAUACUUCACAUAGGGCUUACUAUUUUUAACAUUUCUAUUUUCUUUUCAAGAUAGUAUGAACCUGAUUAACUAAGCAAACUAUAAUUGAAUAAUUGAAAGGAAAAGGAUAACUACCAAGUUUACCUCUUGGCAAGGCGUUCAGUGUUUUUAAGUCCUCCGAACGGGACUCUCCGUUUUCUCAGUCGUCCUGGGAUUCGCUGGAUGGCGAAGUCGGUGGUUCCAGCGGCUAUAACUAUCUUCUCUUUCCACAUCUGACUCGGUGCUAUGGUCUCCUCAGGACGGUUCUGUUCAAGCUGUAUGUCUUCAGACCUUACCACUUCUCCUUCGUAGUAUACCCAUCCGUCCUUGAUAAUUUCCCUCCUCUAGUUUUGGUUGCGUCGUCUUCUUCUUACCCUGACCUGCUUAGAGUCUUCAACUAUAUAGUUAGGGUCAGUAAAAUAGCGGCAUACCUUCUUAGAGGGGAAGUGCAUGUGGACUUCUCUGGUUCCAAUGUAGAUGAUUGCUUUAACGGUGCUGAGGAACGGUCUUCCAAGGAUGAUGGGUGGAUUGUACUCGUCUUCUCCCAUGUCAACGACCUGAAAAUCAUCUGGAGCUGAAUGUAUGUUGGUUGUAGGGGCAUGGUUCCAUGCAGGAGCUGAUAAGUGACUAUGGCCAUUAUGUUGUCGUCAGAUCCGGUGUCAUAGAGUGUCUUCUGAAAAGAGUAUCCAUUGAUUGUGCACUCGAUGCUUGGAACACCAGGGUCGUCCUUCUUGAUCAGGAAAGGCGACUUGAGUCGAUGAUCUUGACCUCCUCCGCCAAGGAUCCAAUGUUUUAAGUCUUCUGGACAAGACUUCUUACCGUCUUCAUCCUUUAGGUGCAUAAUUUGAUUAGGUGUGGACCUUGACGUCUGCACCUCUUGAUACGGAGUCACCCAUGUUCUUUGUUUGCUCAGCAGUUCGAAGUGCGGUGUUGGCAAUAUCCUGCUCAGUGUGUUUGUGCUUGUAGAUCUAGGUCCUUCACUUGGUGGAGUCUAGGAGUUGUAAAACUCCUCCGUGUUUUGCUUGAAGUGUACCUAUUCAUAGAGACAAGGCAGAGAUCAAGUGCAUGGACCCUGUUGGUGGAAAACACCAAUAGAACCAAAAGUGUAUUUGUUCUUCUCUAAUCUUAAGCAUAGUGAGCAAGACAAAGUUGAUGGAUCAUGAGUGUAGCUAAUGGUAAGAUAAUCUAUUUUUAUUUAUGUUUUGUUUAUAUCUUCCAAAUAUUGAAUGUGCAACAUUUUAGCUUACUAGAAACAAAGAUUAAAGGACUAAACAUGCUGAAUCAGUUGAGUUGGUUAAUUUGGAGUUAUAAAUCAUACAUGUUUGUCUCUUUAUUUUAUGUGAAUGCCAGAACUAAGGAGAAACUUAUAAAAGCGAUAGUCCAGUACCUUAAGAUGUUACCUUAAUUGAAGAGUGAUGGUAUAGUAUCACCUUGUGGAAGCUUUCCUUUCUUAGCGGUUGUGCAUCGUGUUUGUGGCACCCUCCAUAGAUCAUCUCUUUAUGAUGAAUGAGCUAUGUCCUUCUUGUGCAAAUUGUUAAACUUCAUGUGUCUCCUUUAUCUCCAAUGAGUUUGUAUCUUAGGACUUCCCAGGUUGAUAUUGAAAGUUUUCCUACAGGGGUUAGUCCAACAAAAUAUCCCAUAUCUACUAUAGCAUACUGUCGGCUCAAAAAUCAACCUAGACACCAUGUCUAAUUUGAUUUAGGAGGGAAUUUUAACCUAAGCACCAUGCUUAAUUUAAAAAUCUUUUGGAACUAAGAUCAUCAUUCCUAAACUGAGCACCAUGCUUAAUUAAGAGAUAAAUGAAACUACUCCAAACCUAGACAUAUACUAAAGCAAAUAGAGGUAGCAUGAGAGCAUUUAUAGAGAUCUACUCAAGUGGAGAUGAAGUAGUGUGAUUAGUAUUUAACAAAUUGAGCAUGUCUCAAAGGUAGGGACAACCAACAUAGCAACAUGGCAGAGGAUGUUUUUAUGUAAAGUACUCCCCCAAGCUUGCAUUUUGCAAAAUUCAAGAUUGGAUGAAUUUAAUUCAAUGUUGCAUGAUGAUUGGCUGGACAUACCUUGUGCUUGUCAUUCAUCCGAUCUUCUUGCUCCAAUCCUAGAAAGGUUAGUGACAAGAAUACCCGAAGGAAUAUUUUUACAAUUAUCCUUAUAUGCUCAAUACACAAGGUAAUGUUGAAAAUAAUUAACAGCUCAUGUUAUCAUCUGAUCAGUGCUUGUUUUAGGACACUAAGGUUGUCCUUGGGAAACCAUCAAUUUAUGUCGGCGAAGUGGUUUUCCCUCCAACGCUGACCUAUAUUAAGAUCAACUCAACAAGAUCUGCAAUAUUUAUUAUUGUAAUACCCGAUUUUAAGGAUAAAAUCAGAUACACACCAUAUGUGAGUUUUGGAAGUCAAAUUUCACAUAUAGCUACAAAUAAGGGGUAAUAUCAAAAGACAAUGCAUAAAUAUAUAACGUACUUAGUAUAAAAGAGAUAACCUUUGAUAACAAACAGCGGAUAGACAACUCCAAACUUCGGGUAUUAACUUCUCUCUACAGGAUCCAACUCACUGGUUCAACACAAGCCUAAACUCCUCCUGAGGUGCGGGGGAAAUAGCAAGAGUAAGUCCAUGUCGAACUCCACAAGUAUAGCAACUAGAUUGUAUAGCUCCCAUAAACUCAUGAUCAAUAUGACAUAAAUAAUGUAGAGCAUUAAACAAUAAAUAAUGAACAUAUUUAACACACAAGAAUCAUCAUCCGUAAUGUAGAUGUCCCCAAGGCCGCUCCUGACCGUGAGUUCGGCUAGUAUACUAGUUUUAACACUCUGCAGAGGUUGUAUAUUUUUACCCAUGAGUCAUGAUUUACCCUUUCGUCCGAGGUGAUCAGCCUCUUAACCCACUACCAAGGAAGGUCGGCAGGGAUCACUAUGAAGCCUUUCAAAAGUUCGUCUAACAUGUUUGGGCCGUAAGGUUUCCUUUGCGUGCAGAUAUAGAGCCCCUCUUCCGAUGCCACAAUGACUCGCAGCCUAUACACAUACAGACAGAGGCCACACUAUACCCAAAAUGGUUCAGCCCCUCCGCCCUUUCGGGUAGCCUCUAACAAGCUAGAAAAGGUCUUCAUACUGAGCUAAAGGCAGAGCCAUUAUAGCCCUCAUGGUUGCACUGUUAUCACGGGUGAUCACGUACAGAUAAAUCAUCAAGUUGCUAAAAAGUCACUUUUAUCGUUUAUUACUUAACAUUAAUCCAGUCAUAGGAUCAUGGUCACAGAAAUAAAAUCCAAAUGCUAUACUUGCCUUAGUCCAAAUGCUAUACUUGAUCCUGCUGGUCUUACUAGUUGUCCAAGGCUCUGAUCUUGAUCACUGAAGCACUCUUGUUCACCACAGAUUAUUCACCGUCUAAACUCGAUCAUCGAUCACCAACACAUAACAAUCGAAGACAAACAUACACGAAGCAAACAAUACUACAAUUAGAACAGUACACCAAUCAUAUAAAAAGAGUAUAGAGAGUUUAUAAAAAGAUUCUACACAGCGCUACGAUAUCAUAGACGUAAAGAUCACGAAAAUCGGAGCUAAAACGGAGAAGUUAUAAAUUUUCUAAGAUUUAUAUAGAAAAGUAAUUAAUUAAUUAGGGUCACGAAAAUAAAAAGUUUCAAACUGAGAAAACAAUGCUACUAACAUAUAGAGCUCAUUAAAACGAACCUAACGCAAUUUGAAUUGGUCAAAUCGGAGUUAAAAUGGAUAUUUUAUGGCCAAAAGAAAGUCAGUGGCAAUACUGUAAAUAGUGAAAACGUAUUUUUAAUCUAAAACCGAGCUGUUUGUAUUUUCCAAACUGAAAGAUAAAGUGAUUGGGGCUUACGUUGGUGGAUAGGGAGUAGGUUCACCGGCAGUGACGUUUUCUUGGAGCUACAGCAACGCCGGAGCAGCCGACCGUUCGUAGAUGUCGUGUAUAAGCGAGACGAUGGCGAUCACGUUGUAGAGAAGAAAAUAUAAAUUUUAUUUUACUACCUUAAGAAUUCUCAAAUUAGAGGCUUCCCAUAUGAUAGUCUUUGAUGUGCUUUGCCUAAGGGGUUGUUACAUAUAUAUAGGGAGAAAAACUCCCCACCUCCAUGUCAACUAGCGAUAUGGUACUAAUUGAUUUGCAACCUUCAUCUUUGCUAAUAGUCCUAAUUAAUUAUUAAAGCCCAUUAGUAAAUAAAGACAUUGACCAUUGAGAUCAUGGGCUUGAGCAUGAGAUAAAAUGAAAGAUUUUAUUAUUUUUAAAAUUAAUUAAUAUGGCGAAUAAAAUAAUCCUAGAAAAGUCCAGAAUUAUGAUUUAAGCCAUGAAAAAUACUCCGAAAGCUUCGAAAAUUCACGAAAAAUUCUCAGAGAUAUUAUAGAACAUGGAGAACCCGAAUAAAGCUUUUGGAGCUCAUGAAAAGAUUAUUUGGAGCAUCUAAAAAUUAGAUCAUGCUCAUAGAAAAGUGAGAACAGAAGCUGAAAAAAUUCCCGAAAAAUUUGUAGAGAGUGCUUGAUGGACAAGGAACUAAAAGAAGUGCUUUGAGUGACAAAGAAAAUAUUUUAGGAAGGUCCUAAUAAAAUUUGAGCUUAGAAACAAGGAAUUUGGUUGUAGAUAAAAGAUAAAUACGUGCCAAAUAAGGAAGAUCGAUCUACUAAACGUAUUUUAAAUAUUUUUCUUACUCUCAACACAUAAAGGAGCAACAAACAUCACAUCAAAACAUAUGCACUAGCAUGUAUGCAUAAUAAUAAUGCUAAGCCUUAUGAUAAAUUUUAAUUUAAUGAAAAAUAUUAUUUUUCCUAUAUUUUCAUGAGCACAAAAAUACAAAAUUAAAUAAUUUUAUCUAUAUUUCAAAAGGAGUAAAUUUUAGGGUGUUACAAUUCUACCCCCUUAAGAUGAAUCUCGUCCUCGAGAUUCGGAAGACGGUUAUCAAAGAGACGUAGAUUUUGAAUCUUGUUUACUUUCUUGAGUAGUUAUAUCUUCAUAGCAAUGAUUCCACUCUCUUACUCCAAGUAGCCUCUCAAGUAUUCCUAAAAUAUUGACGAGACACCUAGUGUAGUAGGUACGAUCCUUCUUUAAACUUAUUUCUCCUAUCCUUUUUAGACGCUACACAUCAUAUAGUCUUUUAAAUUCAUUGUACCGAGUCUCUUGAUCCAAGGUUAGUUUCAUCACUAAGUUCUAAUUAUCGGUACAUUUAUCACAGUUAAGUUGCUUCACUCUCACACUAUACAUACAACUCUGUAGACUUUGGUGUCAUCUGAUCCUCAUACACAACUCUUAAUCCAUGAGUAUGAGUAAUGACAUAAACCUCCAUUGGUAUUAGCACACUCCAAAUAGAAUGAUAUCUUGAAACAAACCAACAUACCAAGCACUUGAUGUCCUUGUAGAUGUUCCAGUUAUUAACCACUUCUUCUCCUUGUAGUUCUUUAAUUGGGCUACCCCCUUAAGAAAAGUCAACUAAGGGACCAAGAAAGGUAGCUUGCAUACUUUCCAUACAAGUUAACAUUGAGAACUUCUGACAUCCCAAAGAACUUAUGUGCAGUGGAGCAAACAGAUAUCCUGAAAUUUCCUCGCGAUAUGAAAAAUACCAGCGUAGUAAAACAGGUAUAACUAUUAUUCUGUUAAUCCAAUAGAGUUGGAGAUUAUAUCGUUAGAAAACUUAUGAAAUUCCCUACAACUUUCAUGUAGAAGUCCUCCUUAGGUUCUGUCUUUAAGCAUAGGUAAAAUAACCAAACAUAAUAUCCUUCCUGAUAAUGUCUCAGCAAGGUGAAGUAACUUCCAGAAAUUAUAUCUCGAGAUACUUAACUCAUCAUGAGAUGAUCCUUACAUUUUUGAAAAGCUUAGGAAAUCCUCUACAACUUUCGUAUACCAUGUUUUCCCAUAUUCUGUCUUUAACUUGGCCGAAAAUAGGGAAUACCAAAACUGUCCAGACAUUGAUAUAGAACAGAAACAUCCAACUGUAAAUAUCAUAUCUCAGGUUCUACUUAGCCAAAUAAGUUCCAGCUUAUACCGUUGGAAAGCUUAGCAAGUCAUCUAUAACUUUCCUACAGAAUACUUUUCCAAAUUCUAUAGUUAUAUUUGUCUGAAGCAGCAAGACCUCCAAACUGGUCCAGAUUCUGGACAGCACAUCUGUAUCAUCUUGUAAUUUUCGUAACUUCCAAACCAUAAUAGCCAUGAGGGUGAUUCUUGUGGUCAGAGAGAGAUCUUGAAGUCCAAUUGUUCCUAGAAAAAAUUGAUAAACUUUCCACGAUUGGACCUUUAGAUACACCAGCAUUGUAAACUGCUCCAGAAAUCAGCAAAGGACAGAAACAGAAUAUAACCAAACCCAACUACUUAUAUCAUUACUCCUUAUGCCUUAUGCCUAUAAACUAAAUGAUAUUGUGGAGAAAUCCCACAAAAUCAUUGCACUCAUUACAAAGAUCCAAAUCAAGCAUAAGCAUAAUGACAAUCAAUUAAGCAUUGAAGGUUCACACUUCACUCAACUUGCGAUACUAUACGUUCUCUUCAUAGUAAGGGUAAAGAUCAUAAAACACGCAAGAAGAUGAUAAGGGAAGGUUCUAAAAGCAUCCAACUCAAGGUGUGAAGGUGAGAACAAGGACUUUUAAAACAAGCAACAAGGUAGAGACAAGUAGCAAUGGAAAGGAUAUAGUGUACAGAAAAGUAUCAAGGGUUAUAGAACAAGGAUUUAUGGCAAUUUCAAAACCUUAUGACGACCAAUUUCUAACUAGGCUUGCAUCCUACAGUCAGCAUUGCUCUGAUACUACUUUGUAAUACCCGAUUUUAAGGACAAAAUCAGAUACACACCAUAUGUGAGUUUUAGAAGUCAAAUCUCACAUUUAGCUACAAAUAAGGAGUAAUAUCAAAAGACAAUGCAUAAAUAUAUAACGUACUUAGUAUAAAAGAGAUAACCUUUGAUAACAAACAGCGGAUAGACAACUCCAAACUUCAGGUAUUAACUUCUCUCUAUAGGAUCCAACUGACUGGUUGAUCACAAGCCUAAAAUCCUCCUGAGGUGCGGGGGAAAUAGCAAGAGUGAGUCCCAUCCACAAGUAUAGCAACUAGAUUGUAUAGCUUCCAUAAACUCAUGAUCAAUAUGACAUAAAUAAUGUAGAGCAUUAAACAAUAAAUAAUGAACAUAUUUAACACACAAGAAUCAUCAUCCUUAAUGUAGAUGUCCCCAAGGCCGCUCCUGACCGUGAGCUCGGCUAGUAUACUAGUUUUAACACUCUGCAGAGGUUGUACAUCUUUACCCAUGAGUCAUGAUUUACUCUUUCGCCCGAGGUGAUCAGCCUCUUAACCCACUACCAAGGAAGGUUGGCAGGGAUCACUAUGAAGCCUUUCAAAAGUUCGUCUAAUAUGUUAGGGCCGCAAGGUUUCCUUUACGCGCAGAUAUAGAGCCCCCUUCCGAUGGCACAAUGACUCGCAGCCUAUACACAUACAGACAGAGGCCACACUAUACCUAAAACGGUUCAGCCCCUCCGCCCUUUCGGGAAACCUCUAAUAAGCUAGAAAAGGUCUUCAUACUGAGCUAAAGCCAGAGCCAUUAUAGCCCUCAUGGUUGCACUGUUAUCCCGGGUGAUCACGUACAGACAAAUCAUCAAGUUGCUAAAAAGUCAUUUUUAUCGUUUAUUACUUAAUAUUAAUCUAGUCACAGGAUCAUGGUCACAGAAAUAAAAUCCAAAUGCUAUACUUGCCUUAGUCCAAAUGUUAUACUUGAUCCUGCUGGUCUUUCUAGUUGUCCAAGGCUCUGAUCUUGAUCACUGAAGCACUCUUGUUCACCACGGAUUGUUCACCGUCUAAACUCGAUCAUCGAUCACCAACACAUAACAGUCGAAGACGAACAUACACGAAGCAAACAAGACUACAAUUAUAACAGUACACCAAUCAUAUAAAAACAGUAUAGAGAGUUCAUAAAAAGAUUCUACGCAGUGCUACGAUAUCAUAGACGUAAAGAUCACGAAAAUUGGAGCUAAAACGGAGAAGUUAUGAAUUUUCUAUGAUUUUAUAUAGAAAAGUAAUUAAUUAAUUAGGGACACAAAAAUAAAAAGUUUCAAACUGAGAAAACAAUGUUACUAACAAGUAGAGCUCAUUAAAACAAACCUAACGCAAUUUGAAUGGGUCAAAUCGGAGUUAAAAUGAAUAUUUUAUGGCCAAAAGAAAGUCAGUGGCAAUUCUGUAAAUAGUGAAAACGUAUUUUUAAUCUAAAACCGAGCUGUUUGUAUUUUCCAAACUGAAAAAUAAAGUGAUUGAGGCUUACGUUGGUGGACAGGGAGUAGGUUCACUGGCAGUGACGCUUUCUUGGAGCUACAGCAACACCGGAGCAUCUGACCGUUCGUAGAUGUCGUGUAUAGGCGAGACGAUGGCGAUCACGUUGUAGAGAAGAAAAUAUAAAAUUUAUUUUACUACCUUAGGAAUUCUUAAAUUAGAGGCUUCCCAUAUGAUAGUCUUUGAUGUGCUUUGCCUAAGGGGUUGGUACAUAUAUAUAGGGAGAAAAACUCCCCACCUCCACGUCAACUAGCGAUAUGGUACAAAUUGAUUUGCAAUCUUCAUCUUUGCUAAUAGGCCUAAUUAAUUAUUAAAGCCCAUUAGUAAAUAAAGACAUUGACCAUUGAGAUCAUGGGCUUGAGCGUGAGAUAAAAUGAAAGAUUUUAUUAUUUUCGAAAUUAAUUAAUUUGGCGAAUAAAAUAAUCCUAGAAAAGUCCAGAAUUAUGAUUUAAGCUAUGAAAAAUACUCCGAAAGCUUCGAAAAUUCAGAAAAAAUUCUCAGAGAUAUUAUAGAACAUGUAGAACCCGAAUAAGGCUUUUGGAGCUCAUGAGAAUAUUGUUUGGAGCAUCUAAAAAUUAGAUCAUGCUCACAGAAAAGUGAGAACAGAAGCUGAAAAAAUUCCCGAAAAAUUUGUAGAGAGUGCUUGAUGGAAAAGGAACUAAAAGUAGUGCUUUGAGUGACAAAGAAAAUAUUAUAGGAAGGUCCUAAUAAAAAUUUGAGCUUAGAAACAAAGAAUUUGGUUGUAGAUAAAAGAUAAAUACGUGCCAAAUAAGGAAGAUCGAUCUACUAAACAUAUUUUAAAUAUUUUUCUUACUAUCAACACAUAAAGGAGCAACAAGCAUCACAUCAAAACAUAUGCACCAGCAUGUAUGCGUAAUAAUAUUGCUAAGCCUUAUGAUAAAUUUUAAUUUAAUGAAAAAUAUUAUUUUUCCUAUAUUUUCAUGAGCACAAAAAUACAAAAUUAAAUAAUUUUAUCUAUAUUUCAAAAGGAGUAAAUUUUAGGGUGUUACAAUUAUAGACAUAUACAUCGACAACUCACCAUUUUAAAUUGAGCCAAAGUCAUAAUCCAUUAAGGCUUCUUCCUUGUCCAUCCACUCAAUGGUAAUAGCACAUGAAUUUUUAAUGCCCUCUAGCCAUUGAUGUUGCUCUUCUCGAUCCUCCUUGUGGUAUUGGUGACUCUUAUGCGUAGGAUGUCUAGAGAGAUUUAUAGGAUCAUAGGGAGGUUCAAGAGAAAGAGCAUAGUAGAAAUUAUUAAGCUCAUGGAUGGGUUGGAUAGCCGAACCAUGGGUUUGAAAUGUUUGGAAAUCGGCUAUUGAAACUUUUUUUCCUCAUCUGGGAGAUGAUUCCUUCUCUAUCUCUAGGAUUUUUUAUGAAGAUUAGUGCAAAAAGGAUGUCCACGAAUGAAGACAUACCUUGCUUUACUAACAGAUAAAGAAAGAAAAACUCUACCAAAGGUUAUAUGAUUAAGACCAAUGUGUAAAUAUCGAGAAAAAACAUGGUCUUGUAGGGCUAGGUUUAAACCAAAAUUUAUAGAAAGAUUAAAAGAUUCCCUAGGUGUAGCUAAAAGUUCAUUAUCUUCUUGAUUAAAAGAUAGGACCUCGGCUAUAGAAAAGGGUUGGUUUGACCUAUUGCAAUCAACUUCGGACACAGAUCAUAAUUAAGGGCAAAGAAAGGACUUGUUGACUCCCAUGGUCUAUGGUUGGUCGAAGGUGCAAAAAAUUCAAUAAUAGGUGUCGAAUUUGAGUUAUCCAUAAGGAUGGAAAUAAUAAAAAGAUAAAAGAAUAAAAGUAUAAAAGUAUAAUACAAGAUAAUAGGAAGACUCAAAGUUAUCUCAGCAAACCAUCUUUCUCCCCGGCAACGGCGCCAGAAAUGCUUGUUGAUAUUUGGUAACGCCAUCAGGAAAUGAUCCGCAAGCGCACGGAUAUCGGUGAGCACUUCACCCGUGAGGUUAUCCAGAGUAUCGUAUUUAUAUUUUUACCACUGGGAGAAAGCGUGCAUCCGACUAACCAAAUCUAUUGCUACUACCCUUUAGGCUACAAAGAAUGUGACUCGAUGUGAGCGAUGUAUAGAGAAGACUGCAACCGUAGUCUCGUUCUAACCUUGGUAAGGAUGAUCUACUGUUCUAUUGGGGAAGCUUACGGAAUCUAGACACCACAGAGGAUAUUCGACCCGCACCUAUAAACCCUACCCGUCCUGCUAACGAGAUGUGGGCUGCAAAGGUAACUCGGAAAUGUCACGUUCCUCGCUACUACCACGGUCCAGCUAGUCAGGGGAUAUCUAUGAGUACCCUAGCCCAAACACCACGUUUACGCUAGCAAUGAUUACUCUAAACUCAACCGGAAGAGAUUAAAGUAAACUCAUAAACCAAAGAACAAUAAAACAAGAACUUACUAGAAUUUAGAAGUCAAAUUACUGAAGAAUCCUAGGAGCAAGCCUCGGGUUAGGAGAACUUGAUCCCGCAGGUACAACCUCGGAGUAGACACCGACAGGCCGGGCUUCCACCGAUCUACACCUCCUCUCUAUCUCUCUCAAUCUAGUAGAACUUAGAAGAACUAAUUCUACUCUCACAUUGGAUGCUAAGCCCUAAGUCUAUUUAGAAGAGAGGUUAUCCUUCGAGAGCUCCUCUCAACUCUAUGAUGAACUUGUUCUCCUCCAGGGGCUAGGGGGUCUGCUUAUAUAGUCCCACGAAGUGAUUCUGGGCCGUCGGAUCAAACCGACGUUGAUUGAACGGUUAUCCUUGAUCCCUUAGGUCGGUGGAGCGUAAUCCCCGAAGAGAGUCCUGAUUGGACUCUAGGACAGGGCGGGCGCCCUAGGGGGGAGGGCGGCGCCCUGCCCCCGGGCCCGUUCGCCUUCCCGUUCGUUCCCGUGGCUUCUGGAGUCUUCUAGAUGACAGAAAAUUGUGCUGCACGUUAAUAUCUCUAUGUAAACCCAACGUGUGGGCCUUUCUUCCGUAUUUCCUAAUAACCCCCUGUAGAAAUAGAUAAACACCAAAACUCGUGGAAUUCUGUCAGAUAAAACCAUAAGUCUGGGUGUUGGUUGCAUUUGGACCCUUUUCUUUAUUUAUUUGAUGAUUAUAUUUGGUACUUAAGGACCGUCAACACCUGAGUCCCUAGGGUUAGGCACCGGAUGCUAGCACUGGACGCACCAGGUAUCGUCCGGUCCUAAACCCAGGGAGGUCCAAAGGGUGACCUAGGCACCGGACGCUAGCACCGGACUCAUCGGGUAGCGUCCGGUCCUAAACUCAGGGAGGGUGUAAUUUUCACCUUCACAUCGGACGGUGUCACCAGACGCUGGGAAGUAGCAUCCGAUGCCCUGUCAGAGCGAAGUACAGUAAGCCGUUGAGUGUCACCGUACGCUCGGUGCAGAGCGUCCGGUGCAACAUCAACAGCGUUCGGUGAACCCGUUUUCAGUGUAAAACGGUUGGCCGACCCUUGGACUUAAUGGGGUGUAUUUAUACUCCUCCACCUCGUCCAUGGGAGAUCACUUGCCCAUUUGAUCAGUUGAGAAUUACCUUGUGGUGCAAGAGAUAAGCAAGAGCCUAGAGAGGAUUGAGAUUUGAGAGAUUUCUUGUGAGAAUCCUUCUCUAGUGGAAUUCCAAGAGUCAAGUGUGCAUCCACCACUCUCUAGUGCCUUGAUUGGGUCAAGUGAGAGUUCUUUGCUUGUUACUCUUGGUGAUCACCAUCACCUAGACGGUUCGAUGGUGACUGGAGGCACGAAGACCGCCCAGAGUUCUUGUGGGUGGCUCGUGUCAAGCUUGUGAGCGGUUUUGGGCGAUUCACCGAGACGGAGUGUCAAAGAAUCAGCCCGUAGAGAGCACUUCGUCCUUGUGUGGACCAAGGGGGAGCAAGACCCUUGCGCGGGUGCUCCAACAAGGACUAGUGGACAGUGGCGACUCUCCGAUACCUCGGCAAAACAUCGCCGAGCAUUUUCUUGCCCUCCUCCUUUACUUUCUAGCAUUUACUUUGUGUAAUUACUUUGAGUUUUUACAUUCCUAGAAUUGUCAUGCUAGACUAGGAUUGGAACUAGGUUGCAAAACUUUUAUCCGGUAGCUCUUUAGUCACAUUAGGCACAAGGGGUUGAAUUAGAGCUUAAAGGUUGCUUAAAUUUUUAGAGAAGCCCAAUUCACCCCCCCUCUUGGGCAUCUUGAUCCUUUCAAUUGGUAUCAAAGCCUAGUGCUCAUUAUUUAGGCUUCACCGCCUAGAGAAAGAUGUCUAACGGGGAUGGACCGCCAUCCAUGUUCGAUGGCAAUGACUUCCCGUAUUGGAAAAUACAGAUGGAGCCAUACCUCGAGGCAUGUGAUAAUAAGUGCCUAAAAGCCAUGACCGAAGGGUUUACUCCCCCAGCAAAAGACACCGCUCUUACUCCACAAGAGCAAGAAAACUAGAAGUGGAAUGCAAAGGCCAAAAACCACAUUUUUAGUGGUCUUUGCAAAGAGUUGUUUAACCAUGUUCGGAACCACAAAACCGCCCAUGCUUUAUUGAAGGAACUUUGUGCGCUCAAGAGCGAGCGUGAGGAACGCUUUCAUCUUGUGAUGAACAAGCUUCAUACAUUUGAAAUGCUUCUAAAAGAAAAUGCUAAUGAAAUGUAUUCUUGCUUCAAUGUCAUUAUAGAGGAGCUAAAUGGACUUGGGCUCAACCAAAUGAGUGCGGCAGAUGUGGCAAGGAAGAUACUACGUGUUCUCCCCAUUCAGAAAUAUUGGCACAUAGUAACCGUGCUUCAUCAAGGCGAUCUCCCCACCGCCACACCAAUGUCCAUAUUGGGAAUGAUCUGUAGCACCCGGUUUUAAGAACAAAACCAGAUACACACCAUAUGUGAGCCCAGGAAGUCAAAUCUCACAUAUAGCCACAAAUAAGGGGUAAUAUCAAUAGUCAAUGCUUAUAUAUAACGAACUUAGUAUAAAAGAUAUAACCUUAGAUAGCAAACAGCGGAAAGACUCUCCGUUCUUCAGGCAAAAGCUCCAAAUCCACAGGGACCACUGACUGGUUGAGCACAAGCCUAAACUCUUCUCCAAACUUGCAAUCUGGUACCCAUCCGGGAUUUUCAUCCAAAUAAAAUGGAAAGGCAAGCGUAAGUACAUCUCGUACUUAGCAAGAAUAACAUAGGGUUCAUGAGGCUCAAAGGCUAGACACUGGUUGAACUGCAUGUAGCUUUUAGUUGUCACAAUUUUAGCAUAUGAGUAGCAUCAAGUUGUCAAGACCCAUAAUAAACUCAUGAUCAGGUAAAGUGAAUAAAGAAUAGCAUAAACAACAUAUUAACAAUAAUGCCAUUAAUGAAUUGCCAUUAGUGUUCAUUUAUUCUGUAUUGGUCCAAGGCCGCUCGUGACCGUGAGCACGGCUGAUAUAUCAGUUUUACACUCUGCAGAGGUUGUACACUUUCACUGUGAGUCGUGAUUUACCCUUUCGCCUGAGGUGAUCAGCCCCUUAGCCCACUCCCAAGGAAGACCGGCAGGGUUCACUAUGAAGCCUUUCAAAGGUUCGUCUAACAAGUUAGGGCCGCUAGGUUUCGUUAGUCAGUCCGUGUGACUCACCCGCAAGAAUCCACGGUCUGCUAUCCCCCACUUGCGCCACAAGGGUAACCACUAACAAGCUAGAAAAGGUCCUCAUACUGAGCUAAAGCCAGAGCCAUAUAGCCCUCACAAUUGUACUGUAUGUCCCGGAUGGUCAGAUACAGAUAAGUCCUUAUGGAGAGAAACUAGAGCACCAUAAGGUAGCCCAAUGCUCCAGCCCUCUUUUCCAAUGUUGCUAAAAAGUCAUCUUUUAAUGUUUAUUGCAUAAUUCUUCAAUCAAGUUACAAGAUCAUGGUUUAGUGGAGCACUAGCAUAAGCUACCCAAUGCAUAACCAUAGGUGAUAAGGUAUAAGAUCAAUACUAGGAAAUCAUUAUCAAGGAGACACAUGCAAUAUGAAUUGUGUGAUUAAAGUUAUUAGGAAACAAGGAUGAUCCCAUGCUAUACUUGCCUUGAAACUCAGAUCCUUCUUUUAGUUCCAAACCUUCCACAAACUGCUUCUUGAUUACCAUGUAAAAGCUCACCGUCUAAACUCAAUCAUCACAUCAACAACAAUCAUCCAGAGGCAAUCAUACAAAGCAAACAAACCUAUAAUUAGAACAAUACACCAACAGUAGAAAAUAAAGAUAAAAAGUUUAUAAAACGAAUCUACAUUGCUCUACGAUCACACAGACGUAAAGAUCACGAAAAUCGGAGUUAUAACGAAGAAGUUAUGAUUUUCCUAAGAUUUCCUUUAAAUAAAUAAUAGAUUAAAUCUAAACUCAGAUUUAAAAAGUUGAAAACUUAUACUAUAGUAGCAUUAGACUAUAGAUUACGCGAAAACGAAUCUAACGCAAGUUGAACGGAUUAAAACGGAGUUAAAACGAAGAAUAUAUGGAUUUUCUAAGAUUUUCUUUAGAAAAACAAUUAAUUAAUUUGGGUCACGGAAUUAAAAAGUUUUAAACUAAGAAAACAGUUUUACUAACAUGUAGACCUUUUGAAUACAAAACCAACGCAAUUUGAACGAGUCGAAACGGAAUUAAGAUGAAUAUUUUAUGUGUAAAACAAAUCCAGUGGCAAACUUGUAAUUUCCUGAAAACGUAUUUUGAAUAAACCAGCACGGAGUACGUUUUUAAACUGUGAAAACGUAUUCUAAAUCAGAGCAGACGGGAAUACGCUUUCGGAGUUAGGAAGCGUAUUCUGGAAAUCCGCAAAGGACUGCGGGUUAAGACUUUAAAAAGCACGGGGGGUUUUCUGCAAGAAUAUCGGCCGAAGGGGUAUCUUUUGAUUUGAGCCAUUGGAUUGCGAAUCAAGGGCCUAGAUUAGAUCGCAGGGGGGGAUGGAGUCGGCCGGCCGGAGUUGAGGUCGGCCGCGGCGGCGCCAUGGCCGAACAUGGCCGGAGCUCGCGGUGUGCGCGAUUUAGGGCAUGAAUCGGUGAACCGAUAGCACAGAGACGUAAAGAAACUUAUCGCGAGCUCACCUUGGGCUAACACGGGGUCACGGGGUGGUCGGAGUGCGCCCGCAACGGAGAACGGCGGACGGUGGCCCUGGAAGAAAGUUCGGCGAGCGUUAGCGGUGGGUAUAAAACAGUAGAGCGCUAAUGGAAAGUCUCUGCGACUUCGCACGACGAAAACGAAGCCCGGCACGUCGCUCGCGGAGGCUCGAAGGCGCUGCAGCGGCGGGUUGGUGAUGCGGCGGAUCUCGGCGGCGAUUUAGGCGAGCUUGGACGCGUUGGCUGCGGCUCGGGUUGAAUUGGGGGUUAGCGGAGCUUCGGGGCGGUAUAUAAAGCACGGGAAUCGGGCGAAAUCGGGACUCCUCGCGCGAAUCGCGCGCACGGUUGCAGUGCGGCUCGUGUCCGGCUCGGACUCGAGGUAGAAGAUGAGCCCGACAGGUGGGUCCCACCUGGCAGUGACGCAAAGGCGCCGGACCCCGCUGUCAUCCACUGUGGCGAAGGGGAGAGGAGGCGCGCGGUGCGGGCUGAUCCCUCUGGGCCGCGAGAUGGGCCGUGUUGGCGCUAGGCCGAAGCAAGAAGAGAAAGGGGGAAGGGGAGAAGCAGACCGCGGGGGAAAAAAAAGAAGAAGGAGUGGGCCGAGCCCAAGAGCAGCGAGGGAGAGAGUCUUUCUCUUUUUAUUUUCUGUUUCCCUUUUCUUUUAAAACAAAACACAUUUCAAAACAAAAUUUGAAUUCCUUUAAAACUUUAGUCAAACCACUCAUCACAAUAAACCCAAUGCAGCGGCAUGCAUGCUCAAACAAGUUGUUAACUCCUAUAGUGAAUUUUAAUUCAACGAAAAAUAUUAUUUUUCCUAUAUUUCAUGGGCUCAAAAAAAAAACACAAUUUAACAUUUUAUCCUGUUUUGGAAAAUUGCAAAUUUUGGGGUGUUACAAUUCUACCCCCCUUAAGAUGAAUCUCGUCCUCGAGAUUCGGUUGGUGCUUACUCCAACAACUGCGGGUAUGUUUUUCUCAGAUCCUCUUCUCUAUUACAAACAGCCUCCUCUUCGGUGCACUGAUUCCACUGGACUUGUACAUCCUGAAAAUCCAACUCCUAGUAACCCUUUCUGUUGUUUCCAAAAUUCUUACCGGAUACUCUUUGUAUGUGAAAUCCAAUUUAACAGUCAAUUCUUCUAAUGACAUCUGCUCUUAUGGCACACACAAGUACUUCUUAAGUUGAGACACAUGGUAGACAUCAUACACUCCUCCUGAACUUUCAGGUAGUUCUAUUUGGUAAGCCACUUCGUUCCAUAUUUCUUGCAUCCUGAAAGGCCUGACAUACCUUGGUGCUAACUUUUCUUUCAUAGUAAACCUCCACACACUUCUCUUAGGUGACACCUCCAAAUACAUGUAGUCAGAUCUAAUUCUUUUCUCAGACGUCAACAUAACUCUUCUAUCGAGACUGUGCCACCCUUAGAUUAUCUCUGAUCACUCUCAAUUGUUGUUCUACAUCACUUAGAGCUUCUAGCCCAAACACUUGUGUUCUCCCAUUUGAUUUCAAAUCAACAGGGUUCUACACUUACAUCCAUAUACACUCUCAAAAGGCUCCCACUGAUGGCUCUAACCAUUGUUCUAAGAAAACUUCGCAUACGGUAAACUCUUUGUACCAUACUGCAAUACACCAGCUCACAACAUAUCUUCUAAGUAAUCCUUGUAGUUCCUGUGGUUCCCAAAUGAGUAAUAGUAGAGCUCAUUUGGCAGUGCUAGUGACAUCCCUCCAACACAUCAACUCCUCAAACCUUGGUGUUAUUUGAACUCCUCUAGCACACUCUUUAUGCUCUGAGCAUUCGCCAAGGCUUUUCUCCUUCAAGUGAUAGCAUUUUUCCUAGUCAUACCCUUGAUUUACUGAACUCCAUCGACAAUGUGACCGGCUCAAAUCCAAUUUCGUAAAGAUGCCCUUUAGAUUCUUUCAUUCCACGUAGAUAUCACUUUUACAUCCAAGAAGAUAGUAUCUCCAUGAUGCACAAUGGAUACCUCCCCAUCAUGUGUUGGGUGGUCCAACUUACUUAGUCAACUUAUGCACAGGCCACUACUUUUCUUGUAUAAAGCACAUCUAAAGUCUUGCUGGGACAAAAGAACUCUAUCUGUUAAUCUUUAUAACACCUUCCGUGAACCAUUGAUAGAAUUUUAUCAUUCCAAGUCAAUCUCUUAUUCACUCUUAUGUCAAGACCACACUGGCUCUAGCAAACCUAUGAUAGUCUCUUGUCAUAUCUAGAAAACUCUAAGUCUCAUUCACUUUCCUUUGGUUGUUUCCAACUCUUACAUCUUUAACUUUCUUAGGUCCAUCAUUAAAGAUGACGUCUCCUAGAUGAGAAUUUCCAUUAACUAGAACAUACUGGUCAUGCUCUCUUUAGCAAUGAAGCCUUUUGAAUCUCAGUAGAGUCAAUAGUAGAUGCAGCUUAUCCACUUCCUAAGUUGUCAAGUGACCAAUUUUCACUAACUUGAGCCAGAGUAGAUGAUUAUAAUCAUGGGAUAUCUCCAGAGACACUUCUUACUUCAUGGUAAAUUAAAAGGGCAUUAAUCUAUCAUAUCAGGGUACUACCCCCCUUAAAAUGAGAUAGGUAGGGGGACAGUAUGGACUAGCUCUUCAUAUACUGUCUAGAUGAUUCACAUCAUAUGGUCUUUUAAAAUCAUUGUACCAAGUCUCAUGAUCUAGAGUUGGUUUCAUCACUACGUUCCAACUAUUGGUACCUCUAUCAGAGUUGAAUUGCUUUGCUCUCACAUCCCAUGUAUAACUUGGUAGACUUUGGUGUCACCUGAUUCUCAUAAGCACCACUUAAGCUAUGAGUACCAGCGUUGACCUAUAUCUCCAUCCAUAUUAGCACACUUCAAUGGAACUAUUUCUUGCAUCAAAAACCAAAUUCACCAAACACUUGAGGUCCUUAUCGAUGAUCCACUGUUAACCAACACUUCUCCUUGUAACUCCUUUGAUAAGACUACCCCCCUUAGAAAAGGUAACUAGGGGUUUAAAUGGGUAGUUUAGUCCACCUCUCUAGUGUGUUUCUUAUCAUGAGAUCUUCUAAUACCGAAGAGAAACUCAUGUGCACUGAUGUGUACAAGAAAUCUGAAUUUCCUCACAACAUGAGAAACGCCAGCACAGUAAAAUAUAAAUAACUCCUUUUCUGUUAAUCCAAUAAGGUCUUAGCUUAUACCGUUAGAAACCUUAUCAAAUUCCCUACAACUUUCAUAUAGAAGGCUUCCUUAGUUUCUGUCAUUAAACCUAGGUCAAACAGCCAUACAUGAUAUCUUUCCCGACAAUGUCUCAGCAUUGGUGCAGCAACUUGCAGAAGUCAUAUCUCGAGUUACUUAGAUCAUAUGGGGACGAGUCUUACAUGGUUGAUAAGCUUAUGAAGUCCUCCACAACUUCUAUUUAUCCCACUUUUCCAGAUUCUGAUGUUAAGUUGGCUGAAAAUAGGAACUAACUAGAACUGUCCAUAUUUUGAACUGUGCAGCAACAGCAACUUAUAGAUGUCAUAACUCAAGUUCUAUUAAUCCGAUAAAGUUGCAGAUUACAUCAUUGGAAAGCUUAUCAAAAGACCUAAAACUUUCUUAUAGAACCUUUUCCCAAAUUCCGGAGUUACAUUUGUCCAAAACAGUAGGCAACUAAAACUGGUCCAGAUUCCUGACAGCUCAACUGUACCAUCUUGUGAUUUUCGUAAUUCCCAAACCACAACAGCUAUGGGGGUGAUUCUUAUGGUCAGAGAAGGAUCUUGAAGUCUUCUAUUACUCAGAAUUUUCGCAUGAUUUUAUGGUCCUCCAGGAAUAGGGAUUUGAACUGAAAAAGAUAAGUUGCUCCCAAAAGACAAGGACAGAGAACAAGAGAAACUGAAACCCAACUAUUUAUUCAAUUAAUCCUUAUACCUUAGGCAUGUAAACUAAAUGAAAUUGUGGAGAAACCCACAAGAUCAUUGCACUCAUUACAAAAAUCCAACUCAACCAUAAGCACUAAAACAAAGCAACCAAACAUUAAAGGUUCACAAAGCACACAUAUUGACUAGACUCAACUUUUGCUACUAACGUUUAUUACAAAGGGGACUUCCUACUUCUUAAACACGGUGUGACUGCAGCGGCAUCCAGGGUAGCAUCUCUUGCGUGGAGUUAAGCGAGGUAUGUCCUCCACCUCAUUGAUCUUGGGUGAUCAACCACGAUUUCUCCACUCAUCAAUCUCAUCAAGGGCUUCCUCAUAGUGUUGCCUUACUUCUGCCAAUUCCAGUUGACUAUCUUCUAGCUUUUGAUGCAUGACUUGGAUAGUCAAAGCCAUUUCCUUUAGUUGCUCAUUCUGCUCCAAGUAGGGGUCAGCCAUUACACAUUGCAAAGUGCCUGGUGGACGACGAGGAAGAUACUUUUGUUUGCCAUUCUUCCUCUCUUCGUAGUGCUUUCCAUGAUAUGCCAGAAGAGCUUGAUGGGCAGCAUCAGAGAUGCUAGCAUGCUUACUGAAACGGUCACUGAGAGACGAAUGAAUGGAUUCCACCACGCGUGAACUAGUAAACUCAUUCCACCUUGUGAUGUGUGCUUCUGUGCUCCAGUGGCUCUCAUACUUAGGAUGGGUCCACUUAGUGCACUUAUAUUCCACCUUGGCUUGCUGUUCAGGAUAGUGGUCUUGUAGUAUACGCACAAGCCGAGGGUGAAAGAAAUCUUCGCCACUAAAGGAUGUGGUAAAGUACUCCUUCCGCCAACAAGUAUGUCUUGAUGGGACAGGGCGAGCUUCUUCAUACUCUGGUUCCAUUAAGCCAUAGAUACCCCGAGUUAAGCAUGGUCUUCUAGAGUUGUUGCGACCAAACUUUUCGUUAUGAACCAUCUAUGGAAUUAGACCAAGAGGGAGUUAGAAUAGAAGCAAUACUUUCAGAAUAGAAUUAGAUGAUAGAAGCAUAAGAAUUUUAGCAAAUAGCAAGGGCGAGAUAGUAAGCAUGAAUGUAGUGAAGCAAAGAUGACUAAAACGACCAUCUCUAUCUAGGCUUGCGUCCUACAGUCAGCAUUGCUUUGAUACCACUUUGUAGCACCCGGUUUUAAGAACAAAACUAGAUACACACCAUAUGUGAGCCCAGGAAGUCAAAUCUCACAUAUAGCCACAAAUAAGGGGUAAUAUCAAUAGUCAAUGCUUAUAUAUAACGAACUUAGUAUAAAAGAUAUAACCUUAGAUAGCAAACAGCGGAAAGACACUCCGUUCUUCAGGCAAAAGCUCCAAAUCCACAGGGACCACUGACUGGUUGAGCACAAGCCUAAACUCUUCUCCAAACUUGCAAUCUGGUACCCAUCCGGGAUUUUUAUCCAAAUAAAAUGUAAAGGCAAGCGUAAGUACAUCUCGUACUUAGCAAGAAUAACAUAGGGUUCAUGAGGCUCAAAGGCUAGACACUGGUUGAUCUGCAUGUAGCUUUUAGUUGUCACAAUUUUAGCAUAUGAGUAGCAUCAAGUUGUCAAGACCCAUAAUAAACUCAUGAUCAGGUAAAGUGAAUAAAGAAUAGCAUAAACAACAUAUUAACAAUAAUACCAUUAAUGAAUUGCCAUUAGUGUUCAUUUAUUCUGUAUUGGUCCAAGGCCGCUCGUGACCGUGAGCACUGCUGAUAUAUCAGUUUUACACUCUGCAGAGGUUGUAGACUUUCACUGUGAGUCGUGAUUUACCCUUUCGCCCGAGGUGAUCAGCCCCUUAGCCCACUCCCAAGGAAGACCGGCAGGGUUCACUAUGAAGCCUUUCAAAGGUUCGUCUAACAAGUUAGGGCCGCUAGGUUUCGUUAGUCAGUCCGUGUGACUCACCCGCAGGAAUCCACGGUCUGCUAUCCCCCACUUGCGCCACAAGGGUAACCACUAACAAGCUAGAAAAGGUCCUCAUACUGAGCUAAAGCCAGAGCCAUAUAGCCCUCACAGUUGUACUAUAUGUCUCGGAUGGUCAGAUACAGAUAAGUCCUUAUGGAGAGAAACUAGAGCACCAUAAGGUAGCCCAAUGCUCCAGCCCUCUUUUUCCAAUGUUGCUAAAAAGUCAUCUUUUAAUGUUUAUUGCAUAAUUCUUCAAUCAAGUUACAAGAUCAUGGUUUAGUGGAGCACUAGCAUAAGCUACCCAAUGCAUAACCAUAGGUGACAAGGUAUAAGAUCAAUACUAGGAAAUCCUUAUCAAGGAGACACAUGCAAUAUGAAUUGUGUGAUUAAAGUUAUUAGGAAACAAGGAUGAUCCCAUGCUAUACUUGCCUUGAAACUCAGAUCCUUCUUUUAGUUCCAAACCUUCCACAAACUGCUUCUUGAUCACCACGUAAAAGCUCACCGUCUAAACUCAAUCAUCACAUCAACAACAAUCAUCCAGAGGCAAUCAUACAAAGCAAACAAACCUAUAAUUAGAACAAUACACCAACAGUAGAAAAUAAAGAUAAAAAGUUUAUAAAACGAAUCUACAUCGCUCUACGAUCACACAGACGUAAAGAUCACGAAAAUCGGAGUUAUAACAAAGAAGUUAUGAUUUUCCUAAGAUUUCCUUUAAAUAAAUAAUAGAUUAAAUCUAAACUCAGAUUUGAAAAGUUGAAAACUUGUACUACAGUAGCAUUAGACUAUAGAUUACGCGAAAACGAAUCUAACGCAACUUGAACGGAUUAAAACGGAGUUAAAACGAAGAAUAUAUGGAUUUUCUAAGAUUUUCUUUAGAAAACAAUUAAUUAAUUUGGGUCACGGAAUUUAAAAGUUUUAAACUAAGAAAACAGUUUUACUAACAUGUAGACCUUUUGAAUACAAAACCAACGCAAUUUGAACGAGUCAAAACGGAAUUAAGAUGAAUAUUUUAUGUGUAAAACAAAUCCAGUGGCAAACUUGUAAUUUCCUGAAAACGUAUUUUGAAUAAACCAGCACGGAGUACGUUUUUAAACUGUGAAAACGUAUUCUAAAUCAGAGCAGACGGGAAUACGCUUUCGGAGUUAGGAAGCGUAUUCUGGAAAUCCGCAAAGGACUGCGGGUUAAGACUUUAAAAAGCACGGGGGGUUUUCUGCAAGAAUAUCGGCCGAAGGGGUAUCUUUUGAUUUGAGCCGUUGGAUUGCGAAUCAAGGGCCUAGAUUAGAUCACAGGGGGGGAUGGAGUCGGACGGCCGGAGUUGAGGUCGGCCGCAGCGGCGCCAUGGCCGAACAUGGCCGGAGCUCGCGGUGUGCGCGAUUUAGGGCAUGAAUCGGUGAACCGAAAGCACAGAGACGUAAAGAAACUUAUCGCGAGCUCACCUCGGGCUAACACGGGGUCACGGGGUGGUCGGAGUGCGCCCGCAACAGAGAACGGCGGACGGUGGCCUUGGAAGAAAGUUCGGCGAGCGUUACCGGUGGGUAUAAAACAGUAGAGCGCGAAGUCUCUGCGACUUCGCACGACGAAACGAAGCCCGGCUACGUCGCUCGCGGAGGCUCGAAGGCGCUGCAGCGUCGGGUUGGUGAUGCGGCGGAUCUCGACGGCGUUUUAGGCGAGCUUGUACGCGUUGGCUGUGGCUCGGGUUGAAUUGGGGUUAGCGGAGCUUCGGGCGGUAUAUAAAGCACGGGAAUCGGGCGAAAUCGGGACUCCUCGCGCGAAUCGCGCGCACGGUUGCAGUGCGGCUCGUGUCCGGCUCGGACUCGAGGUAGAAGAUGAGCCCGACAGGUGGGUCCCACCUGGCAGUGACGCAAAGGCGCGGGACCCCGCUGUCAUCCACUGUGGCGAAGGGGAGAGGAGGCGCGCGGCGCGGGCCGAUCCCUCUGGGCCGCGAGAUGGGCCGUGCUGGCACUGGGCCGAAGCAAGAAGAGAAAGGGGGAAGGGGAGAAGCAGGCCGCGGGGAAAAAAAAGAAGAAGGAGUGGGCCGAGCCCAAGAGCAGCGAGGGAGAGAGUCUUUCUCUUUUUAUUUUCUGUUUUCCUUUUCUUUUAAAACAAAACACAUUUCAAAACAAAAUUUGAAUUCCUUUAAAACUUUAGUCAAACCACUCAUCACAAUAAACCCAAUGUAAUGGCAUGCAUGCUCAAACAAGUUGUUAACUCCUAUAGUGAAUUUUAAUUCAAAGAAAAAUAUUAUUUUUCCUAUAUUUCAUGGGCUCAAAAAAAACACAAUUUAACAUUUUAUCCUGUUUUGGAAAAUUGCAAAUUUUGGGGUGUUACAAGAUCAACGCUCAUGAGAUGUACAUGCACAUGAAUCUCCAAGAUGGCUCCUCAUCGGCCAAGAAGGAAAAGACAGACUUGGCCCUCAAAGCUUCUCACAAGGGCAAGGCCAAGAAGGUUGAAGUUGAGUCAUCAACUUCAAGUGAUGAUGAUGCAUCCAUUGCCCUCUUGGUGAGAAGAACCACCAAGAUGUUGAAGAAGCUCAACAAGAAUGGAGUCUACUUUGACUCCAAAAAUAAGAAGUUCUUCACAAGUAGAAAGAGAAAGCCCAUCUCCGAGAUGGAUUGCUACAAUUGUGGUGAUCUUGGUCACCUUGCUCACCAAUGUCCAAAGCCCAGGAAGGACAAAUACAAGAAGAAGAACAAAGAGCAAGAUGAUUCAAGUGAUGAAGAGAAGAAUGACAAGAAGCAAUACAAGAAGAAAGGUGGCAAGAAGAAGGAGUACCACAAGAAGAAGAAUGGAAAGGCUUACAUUAUUGGUGAUUGGCUCACCAACAUUGAAAGCACAAGUGGUGACUCCUUCGACAACGAAAGUGAUGAUGAGAAGGUUGCAGCCAUUGCCAUUGAUGCCUCAUCACCAUCAUCUUCACCACCAUCUACAUCCUCUACUCACCUCUGCCUCAUGGCCAAGGGUGACCGGAAGGUACAAAGUGAGGAUGAGAGUAGUGAGAGUGAUAGUGUGUAUGAAUCACCAUCUUAUGAUGAACUUGUAAAGUUGCUAAACAAAUACACUAAGGUCAUAAGAAAAACUAGAAGUGACAAUGACAAACUUGAACUUGAAAAUGAAUCACUUCUAGCAAAGCUUAAAUCUAGUGAUGAGCUUAGAGAUCAAAAUGAGAUCAUGACCACCAAGCUCAAGGAGCUCAAACUCUCUUUAAAAGAUCUCAAAGAAAAACAUGAUAAACUUGAGAGUGUUCAUGAUGAGCUUAUCACUAGAUAUAGAGCUUUGAAGGAAGAACUAACAACUCUAAAAGCCAACUAUGAUAAUCUUGAGAUAGCAUAUGAUCUUGCAAUCAAUGAAACACAUGUUGCAACUAACCAUGUUGCUAAGCUUGAUAUAGCCAUGUCUUGUGAUGACUUACUUGUGGAGAGCACAAGCAAAUGUGUUGGUUGCAAGGGCAAGAAAGUGGUAGUGGCCGAGAGCUAUGAGGACAUCAAGGAAGAAAAUGCCAAGCUCAAAAAAGAGUUGCAAGAGCAAGCCAAGCACAACACAAUAGUGAUUGAGUCAUUUGAUCAAGACAAGAAGCUUGCAUAUGAAAACAAGUUGCUCAAAGAAGAGAACCAAUAUCCCAAGCUUGGUUUGAUGUAUGACAAGCAAGAAGAAGAUGAGUCCUUCAUCUUAGAAGAGUUAGAAAGCAACAAUGACCCAAUCAUCAAGAAGCUAACUCAAGAGAACAAGCUCAAGAAAGAGAAAGAACAUCUAACCAAGGGGUUAGCAAAGUUCACAAAAGGAAAGGACCUUCAAAGUGAGCUCUUCAUCAACACCGUCGUGAAGAUGGACAAGAGUGGAAUUGGCUACAAAGCUCAUCAAAGCAAGCUCAUCAAGUCACUAGCCACUCAUGAUCAACCAAGCAAGCCAAUGCCAAAGAGGUGCUUUGAGUGUGGUCAAGAAGGACACUUUGCUCAUGAGUGUGAUGCACCACUACCACCACCCUUGCCCAAGCAUGCUAGACCAUUUGCCUUCAAUGCUCACUAUAUUGUAAGGAAAGACAAGAGUGGCAAGGUCAAGGUUAGCUUCAGGCGUACUGAUCUUCUUGGAGCGUCAUAGGUACGUGCUGUCAGAAACAACUCUUGCCUGAUGUGGAUAGUACUCUGACAGGGGACAAGACAUCCUUCUACCUGUUGAUUCAUAUUGAUCCUUUCAAGCCUGUGAUGCUCAAAUAGACAACAAAGCUUGUGGUACCGAAUAAGCGUUAGUAAUAAUCCUUUAAGCCUUGGUAGUCUAGAACUUUCUUAUACCUAUUUAUCUUGUAGUAGGAUCAAAAUAUUUUUAUGCUUUUCAUAGAUAGGGAAAUAAAUAAGCUAAAACUUAUUUAUGUGCCUACUCGGUAGAUAAGUGUUGUGUGUGUUGUAAUCACACAUUAAAUACAUGGGGCUUAGCAAUUUUCUAGAUGCAAUGCAAAACAUAUUAUUUUCUUUUCUAAUGCAUCAAUGAAAAUAAAGAGGCAACUCAUAAUGCAAUUAAGAGAAAUAAAUAUGCAUAAAGGAAAAUGCAGAUAAAUACGAAGUUACCUCUUGGCGUGGUGUUUAGUGAUUUUAAGUCCUCCAAACAGGUCCUUCUUGUUCGCUCACUGAUUGAGAGGCGCAUCGGAUGGCGGCACAAGUGCUGUGUCCUGUGCAAACCUGCUCUAUAGGUGAUGGCAACUUGGAGGAGAGAGUGUCUGGGAUCACUAUCUCUUCUUCUGCUGGUACUUCCUCCUUGACGGUGUUUUCGUUAGGGUAUCGAUCUUCGAAUCUUGAAACCUCUCCUUCAUAAUAAGGCCAUCCGUCUACAGCAUUCUUCUUCUUCUAGUGGUGGGUGCGUCACCUUCUUCUUGACCUAUUCUUCUUGGGAUCUUCCUGAAUUAUAUAUUUGCAUUUGAAAUGUAUGCCUACAUUCUCUGAGGGGAAUUGGAAAUGGACCUCCCUGGUUCCAAUGUAUAUGAUGGCCUUGGUGGUGUUGAGGAACGGUCUUCCUAGGAUGAUGGUUGGAUAAAUUUCUUCUCCCACGUCGACGACCAAGAAGUCAGUGGGGAUGUAGUGGUCUUCAAUCUGGAUAGGAACAUUUUUGGCUAUCCCAUCCACGAAGCAAAAGGACUGGUCCACCAACUGUAGCUACGCAUAGGUGGGUUCCAUAGGCAUAGUACUGUAUAGGAAUUCAUAUGUUACCUUGGCCAUAAUGUUGACACCCGAUCCUGUGUCACAUACAGUGUUAUAGAAGUUGCAUCUGUUGAUGGUGCAUAGAAUAGUCACGACACCUGGGUCAUCCUUCUUGAUCAGAUGUGGGUGUUGACGGUCCUUAAGUAUCAAAUUUAAUUAUCAAAUAAACAAAGAAAAGGAUCCAAAUGAAAUCAACAUCUAGACUUAGGGUUUUAUCUGACAGAAUUCCACGAGUUUUGGUGUUUGUCUAUUUCUGUAGGGGGUUAUCAGGUAAUAAGGAAGAAAGGCCCACACGUCGGGAUUACAUAGAGAUAUUAAUGUGCCGCACAAUUUUCUAUCAUUUAGAAGACUCCAGAAGCCACGGGAACGAACGAGAAGGCAAACGGGCCCGGGGGCAGGGCGCCCGCCCACCCCCCUUGGGCGCCCGCCCAGGUGUUUCCACCAAUCACAGAAUGGAGUACACCAUUGCAAAGAUCUCGUCGAGCUGAUCGAAAUGCAUAUAUUAUUUGCUAUAUUUGGAGUUCGGAAUCAAAAGAUAUUAAUAAAAGAAGGACUCCAUAUAAAAGAGUUGCCGGAUUAAUUGGGCCCAAAUCAGAUUUUGGUCCAUUAAGGCCUAUGUGCAUUUUAAUGAGAUAUGGUGGAAAGUUUAGUACCACAUCGCCUGCUGAACCAAAAAUGCACAGAGGAGGAGGACUAUAUAAGCAAGGCCCCUGGCCCCUGGAGAAGACAAGAAAUUAUCAUAGAGAUUGAGGGGUGCCCUCGAAGGAAAACCUCUUCUCUAAAUAAUAUUUCUUUUUAGGCUUAGCAUCCAAUGUAAAGUAGAAAUAGAUCUUCUAGUUUCUACUAGAUUGAGAGAGAUAGAGUGGAGGUGUGGAUCGGAGGAAGGCCGGCCUGUCGGUGUCUACUCCGAGUUGUACCUGCGGGAUCAAGUCUCCUAACCCGAGGCUUGCUUCUAAGAUUCUUCAGUAAUUCGACUUCUAAUACUAGUAAGUUCUUGUUUUAUUGUUCUUUGGUUUAUGAGUUUACAUUAAUCCUCUUCCGGUUGAGUAUUAGAGUAAUCACUUGCUAGCGUAAACGUGGUGUUUAGGCUAGGGUACUCAUAGAUAUCCCCUGACUAGCUGGACCGUGGUAGUAGCAAGGAACGUGACAUUUCCGAGUUACCUUUGCAGAUCACAUCUCGUUAGCAGGACGGGUAGGUUUAUAGGUGCGGGUCGAACAUCCUUUGUGUUGUCUAGAUUCCGUGAGCCUCCCCAAUAGAACAGUAGAUCAUCCUUACCAAGGUUAGAACGAGACUAAGGUUGCAGUCUUCUCUAUACAUCACUCACAUCGAGAGACAUUCUUUGUAGCCUUAAGGGAUAGUAGCAAUAGAUUUGGUUAGUCAGAUGCACCCUUUCUCCCAGUGGUAAAAAUAUAAAUACGAUAACUCUGGAUAACCUCCCGGGUGAAAUGCUCACCGAUAUCCGUGCGCUUGCGGAUCAUUUUCUAAUUGCGUUACCAAAUAUCAACAAGCAUUUCUGGCGCCGUUGCCGGGGAGAAAGACGGUUUGCUGAGACAACUUUGAGUCUUGCUAUUAUCUUGUACUAUACUUUUAUACUUUUAUUCUAUUAUCUUUUUAUCUUUAUGGAUAACUCAAAUUCCACACCUAUUAUUGAAUUCUUUGCACCUUCGGAGACCAGCCAUAGACCAUGGGAGUCAACACGUCCUGCCCCUAAUUAUGAUCUGUGUCCGGAGUUGAUUGCAAUAGGUCAAAACCAACCCUUUUCUAUAGCUGAGGUCCUAUCUUUUAAUCAAGAAGAUAAUGCACUUUUAGCUACACCUAGGGAAUCUGUUAAUCUUUCUAUAAAUUCUGGUUUAGACCUAGCCCUACAAGACCAUGUUUUUCCUAGAUAUUUUCACAUUGGUCUUAAUCAUAUAACCUUUGGUAGAGUCAUUCUUUCUUUAUCUAUUAGUAAAGGAAGGUAUGUCUUCAUUUGUGGACAUCCUUCUUGUACUAGCCUUCAUAGAAUAAUCUUAGAGAUAGAGAAGGAAUCAUCUCCCAGACGAGGAAAGGAAGUUUCAAUAGCCGAUUUCCAAACAUUUCCAUCCCAUGAUUCGGCUAUCCAUCCCAUCCUUGACCUUAAUAGUUUCUACUAUGCUCUUCCUCUUGAACCUCCCGAUAAUCCUAUGAAUCUUUCUAGACAUCCCAUGCAUAAGGAGGAUCGAGAAGAGCAACAUCGAUGGCUAGAGGGCAUUAAAAAUCCAUGUGCUAUCACCUUUGAAUGGAUAGAUUACCAAACUUGAGAGACAAUCCUAGAGGAAUUUUAAGCAUUCAUGAAGAAUCAUCCUUGGAGUUUGAGAAUGAGAGAAACAACAGUGAGCAUGGAAGUUAUUUCAUAAAUACCUCACCCAAUCCUUGCUCAUAUAAAACAUCUCUCCAAUCAAUUUGUCUAUCCAUCCUUACCACAUUUGAGAUCUCCAACCCCUUCUUCUUUUCUAUUUAUAACAACUUUAAAAGAGCGGUUGUCGAUGCAUAUGUCUAUAAUAAAUAUUGCAGAUCUCGUUGAGUUGAUCUUGAUAUAGGUAGGUGUUGGAGGGGAAACCACUUCACCAACAUAACUUGAUGGUUUCCCAAGGAUAAGCUUAGCGUCCUUAAACAAGCACUUAUCAGAUCAUAACAUGAACUUUUAAUUAUUUGCAACAUUGCCUUGUGUAUUGAGCAUGUUAAGAUAAUUGUAGAAAUAUUCCUUCGGGUAUUCUUGUCACUAACCUUUCUAGGAUUGGAGCAAGAAGAUCCGAGGAAUGACAAGCACAAGGUAUGUCCAACCAACCAUCAUACAACAUUGAAUUAAAUUCAUCCAAUCUUAAAUUCAAGCUUGGGGAAGUACUUCACAUAAAAACAUCUUUUGCCAUGUUGCUACGUUGGUUGUCCUUUCCUUUGAGACAUGCUCAAUUUGUUAAAUACUAAUUACACUACUUCAUCUCCACUUAAGUAGAUCUCUAUAAAUGCCAUCACGCUACCUUUGUUUAUCCUUGUAAGUGUUGGUUUGGAAGUACUCGACAUACUUCCAUUGGCAUUUAAAUUAAGUGUGGUGCUUAGGUUAAAUAGUCUUCCUUAAUCUGGUUAGACAUGGAGUCUAGUUUGGUUACUGAACUAAAAACUGCUUGAGUAGGCAUUGGUAUAUUUUGUCGGACUAACCCCAGCAGGAAAACUUUCAAUAUCAACCUGGGAAGUCCCGAGAUAAACUCACAUUGGAGAUGAAGAAAGUGACACAUAAAGUUUAACGAUUUGCACAAGGAAGACAUAGCUCAUUCAUCAUAGAGAGAUGAUCCAUGGAACAAGACAAAGAGUACCACAAACACGAUGCACAACCACUAAGAAAGGAAAGCUUCCACAAGGUAAUGCUGUACCGUCACUCUUCAAGUAAGGUAACAUUUUAAGGUGCUUAACUAUUACUUUUAUAAGCUUCUCCUUGGUUCUAGCAUUCACAUAAAUAAAGGGACAAACAUGUAUGAUUUAUAACUCCAGAUUAACCAACUCAAUAAAUUCAACAUGUUUAGUCCUUAAUCUUUGUUCUUAGUACUACCUUCGUGAUCCCACACUCCUAAUCAUAUAAGCUAAAAUGUUGCACAUUCAAUCUUUGGAAGAUAUAAACAAAACAUAAAUAUAGAUAGAUUAUCUUUCUAUUAGGUUGAGCCAUAUGAUCUAACAAAUGUUUCCAAUCCUACACUCAUGAUCCUAUCAACUUUGUCUUGCUCACUAUGCUUAAGGUUAGAGAAGAAUAAAUAUACUUUUGGUUCUGUUGGUGUUUUCCACCAACAGGACCCAUGCACUUGAUCUCUGCCUUGUUUCUAUGAGCAGGACACAUUUUGAGAAACGUGAAGGCAUUUUACAACUCCCAGAUUCCAUCAAGUGAAGAACUGGGAUCUACAAGCACAAACACAAUGGAGAUCAGACACUUAGUUUCCCAAAAGAAAUAUUGAAGAACCUCUGUGUCCGUGUUGGUACCUUGUACGCUCCAGCAAACUUCGUGGUGAUAGAGACUGGUACUGAGGAGAGGGCACCCAUCAUCUUAGGGAGGCCAUUCCUAAACACCAGAGCUGUCAUCUACGCUAAUGCUGCCAAGAUCCGUUUCUACAUCAAGGGGGAGAAGGAGACUUUCCUUCAAGAACAAGACUACACAAAUUUCAGAGCAAUCCCGACAUGAACCAAGGAAGAGGACCAACAGGAGGAACAGGAACAAGCAAAUGUGGACUGAGUCAGCUAAGAUGGUCACUGCAGCUCAAGGAGGUCAAGAUCGUUGACUCAAGUCACCUUUCUUGAUCAAGAAGGAUGACCCUGGUGUUCCAAGCAUUGAGUGCACAAUCAACAGAUACUCUUUAGAAGACACUCUACGACACCGGAUCUGACGUCAAUAUAAUGGCCGCAGUCACUUAUCAGCUCCUGCAUGGAACCAUGCCCCUACAACCAAUAUAUUCAGCUCCAGAUGAUUUUCGAGUCAUUGACAUGGUAGAAGACGAGUAUGAUCCACCCACCAUCCUUGGAAGACCGUUCCUCAACACUAUCAAAGCAAUCAUCUACAUUGGAACCGGAGAAGUCCACAUAUACUUCCCCUCUGAGAUGCUUGGAUGGGCAGACUACGAAGGAGAAGUAAUAAGGUCUGAAGACAUACAGCUUGAACAGAACUGUCCUAAGGAGACCAUAGCACUGAGUCAGGUGUGGAAAGAGAAGAUAGUUAUAGACGAAGAAGAGGCGCCGCCGGAAUCACCGACUACGCCACCUAGCGAAUCCUAGGACGACUGAAAACACAAGAAGUCCCGUUCAGAGGACUUAAAAACACCGAACGCCUUGCCAAGAGGUAAACUGGGUAGUUAUCCUUUUCCAUUCAAUAGUUUGCUUAGUUAAUCAGGUUCAUGCUAUCUUGAAAAGAAAAUAAAAUAUUAAAAAAAUAGUAAGCCCCAUGUGAGUAUGCUCAUGGCAUAAAACCCAUAAGUACAUUCACUGUGGUGGCAUAAAACAUAAAAAAAAAUAAGUUUUCGUCUUACAAUAAAAAUAUAAAAAUAAUAAGUGCAUGAUCCUGCUAAAUAAGUAAUAUGUAUUGAGGAGGCUCAACAUGAUAAAGGCUAGAUAUUUAUGCUAACACUUAACCAGUUCCACAAAGCUUUGUUGUCUAUUUGAGCUCCAGAGAAUUCAAGGAUCAAAGAAGACUAGUAGACGGAGGACAUCCUAAUCGCUGUCAGGGUGCUGCCGACCUUCAAAUACACCUCCAUCACCUGCUAGCUACAUUAGAAGAAAUUACGUCAAAAUCCAGCUUGGAGGAGAGCACCCCCUUUAUCCAGCUAAGUGUUUCUACUCGCGUUUAUACUUUACUCAAAUAAUAAAGAAAUGCAUAAUCAUAAAAACCCAAAUAAAGAUUUUGUGCUUUUAUAUAUAUCUUUGCUUAGUUUGCUAAAUAAAUAAAUAAAUAAAGUUUGUUAUAAACCCUCAUGAUAAGCUCUCACAUGGAAAUGAUGAAUAGUUGCUCUGCCAUGACUAGUUCUUAAAAUUGAAAUCUCUCUCAAGUUUAGGCAUAAUUGUUAUGAAGUAAGAUUUGCUCUAAACCUGAACUUGUGGGAAGAGUACUUGAUCUAAAGUCUAAGUUGUUAACGGAUAUGAUAUGGGAAGGUUGAGCUGCUGUUUAUCUGUUCCUAGAGAUGCUAGAAUUCUAGAGAAUUUUAUCUUUAAAAAUCUUUAAAAUAACACAUGAUGAGUUCCUGUAUGAUGAGAGUUUAAAAUCCUACCACAGCCAUAUAUACAUGCUUGUUAGACUUUGAGCCACAUAUUUACUUUUUACUGCUUAUGAGCAUUGAGUGUGGUCAAGCUGUGUAGACCCUUAGGAGCUUGUCAUGUGGUUAAAAUCAAGAUUCACUUGCACGUUCACUCAUACAUGCUACUUCUAUUCCGGAAGUACCAUCCACAUAUAUCCACUCAUUUCCAUCUCCAGUUUCACCCGAAAUUAUUCUACUCCUAAUCCGAGAGAAUAGCCAAAAACAUUUUCCUAUCCCUGUUAUUCCCUGUGAAAUAAAUGCUCCAGUUAUUUUGGUUACUACCACUUGCUACAUUAUUUCAGGAGAUCAGAGCUCUAAAAAAAAGGAAAGAAAAAAAAAGAGAGAAAGAAUACGAGGAAAUAAAAAGGGGCAAGUGCCCGGAACCUCGAAAGAAAAGAAAAAGUAAGACGAGAGGUAAAAAUGGACAAGUGUCCGACAGUAGAAUUAGGGGUACAAGAUACCCACCUGAGAGGAAAGAAAAAGAAAAUAUAGAGCAUCUCAUUCUCUCUAAAAAGGUUCAAAAAGCAAGGAAGGUAUGUAUCCCCUCAAAAUAGUAAAAGUAGAAUUAGACUUUCACCAUUAUUAUCACCAUCAUCACCAUACACCAUUCAUUCGCCACACAUGCACAUCUUGAUUUGACUUAUUGACUUGUUUCUCUGGAUCCAUGGUUUGACUAUGCAAUAAAUGUCUUGUAAGUAUGUAUUAGCUGUCUCCCACCUAUGAGCUCCAGAUAUCAAGACCUUAUUAGAGUAGGGUGAGAGAGAAGGCAAUAUCACUAUGCCUCAUACCAAAAAUACCACAUACUUUGAGAGAUGGCAUAUACCAUUACUGCCUUGGUAAGGAUCCAGAAAUACCACAAAAGAGAGAUUUGAGAGAAUCAUAUAAGGAAUCUCUGAGUUUUAUUUGAAAAUCUACAAAAACUCCAGAGCUAUAGCUGAUCAAGAAUAAGAGACAUGGCGCUUGACUUGACCGUUCUAUCUUUUAACUGCUCAAGACACAAGUGACGGUUACAGGCCCCAUGGUGAAAGGUAAAAUGAGUAAUUUUUAAGUCUUAACAGUUUAUUCUAACUCAGAGAUGAGAUCUUGCUUGAAUGCGUGUGUACUUUUAAGGCAUGAAACCACUGCAGAAACUCUUGAGUCCAUCCUUGCUCAAGGACGAGCAAGAGGUAAGCUUGGGGGAGUUUGUUGACGGUCCUUAAGUAUCAAAUUUAAUUACCAAAUAAACAAAGAAAAGGAUCCAAAUGAAAUCAACAUCUAGACUUAGGGUUUUAUCUGACAGAAUUCCACGAGUUUUGGUGUUUGUCUAUUUCUGCAGGGGGUUAUCAGGAAAUAAGAAAGAAAGGCCCACACGUCGGGAUUACAUAGAGAUAUUAAUGUGCCGCACAAUUUUCUAUCAUUUAGAAUACUCCAGAAGCCACGGGAACGAACGAGAAGGCAAACGGGCCCGGGGGCAGGGCGCCCGCCCACCCCCCUUGGGCGCCCGCCCAGGUGUUUCCACCAAUCACAGAAUGGAGUACACCAUUGCAAAGAUCUCGUCGAGCUGAUCGAAAUGCAUAUAUUAUUUGCUAUAUUUGGAGUUCGGAAUCAAAAGAUAUUAAUAAAAGAAGGACUCCAUAUAAAAGAACUGCGGGAUUAAUUGGGCCCAAAUCACAUUUUGGUCCAUUAAGGCCUAUGUGCAUUUAUUGAGAUAUGGUGGAAAGUUUAGUACCACAUCGCCUGCUGAACCAAAAACGCACAGAGGAGGAGGACUAUAUAAGCAAGGCCCCUGGCCCCUGGAGAAGACAAGAAAUUAUCAUAGAGAUUGAGGGGUGCCCUCGAAGGAAAACCUCUUCUCUAAAUAAUAUUUCUUUUUAGGCUUAGCAUCCAAUGUAAAGUAGAAAUAGAUCUUCUAGUUUCUACUAGAUUGAGAGAGAUAGAGUGGAGGUGUGGAUCGGAGGAAGGCCGGCCUGUCGGUGUCUACUCCGAGUUGUACCUGCGGGAUCAAGUCUCCUAACCCGAGGCUUGCUUCUAAGAUUCUUCAGUAAUUCGACUUCUAAUACUAGUAAGUUCUUGUUUUAUUGUUCUUUGGUUUAUGAGUUUACUUUAAUCCUCUUCCGGUUGAGUAUUAGAGUAAUCACUUGCUAGCGUAAACGUGGUGUUUAGGCUAGGGUACUCAUAGAUAUCCCCUGACUAGCUGGACCGUGGUAGUAGCAAGGAACGUGACAUUUCCGAGUUACCUUUGCAGAUCACAUCUCGUUAGCAGGACGGGUAGGUUUAUAGGUGCGGGUCGAACAUCCUUUGUGUUGUCUAGAUUCCGUGAGCCUCCCCAAUAAAACAGUAGAUCAUCCUUACCAAGGUUAGAACGAGACUAAGGUUGCAGUCUUCUCUAUACAUCACUCACAUCGAGAGACAUUCUUUGUAGCCUAAAGGGAUAGUAGCAAUAGAUUUGGUUAGUCAGAUGCACCCUUUCUCCCAGUGGUAAAAAUAUAAAUACGAUAACUCUGGAUAACCUCCCGGGUGAAAUGCUCACUGAUAUCCGUGCGCUUGCGGAUCAUUUUCUAAUUGCGUUACAAAAUAUCAACAGUGGGGACUUGAGCAGGUGGUCAUACUCCAUGCGGAUUGCAUUGACCAUCUAUGUUGUCUCAAUCUUCUAGGCCUUCUAUUUGCCCUUGUUCUUGGUCAUGGCCUUAUUCUGGGUGUUACUCUUGUUUCUACCGCUGACUGUCUCCUUCUGAGCAAGGGUUGACAAUGUCUUGUUCUUGAAAGAAAAGGCUUCCUUGUUGCCCUUGAUGUUGAAAGUGAUGUUAGCAUUGUUAGCCUAGAUGAUAGCUCCAGCAGUGUUCAAGAAUGGUCAUCCCAAGAUGAUAGGCGACCUCUCAUCGGUGCCUGUGUUAACAACUAUGAAGUCUGCAGGUACAUACGAGUUGCCUACUCGCAUGCAAAUAUCUUCCUUGAUUCCCACGGGUAACAGAGUGACUGAUCUGGAAGCUGCAAACACAUGGUUGUGCGUGAUAAAGGAUAAUUGAAAAGUUUCUCAUAUAUCACCUUAGGCAUGAUGUUGAUGCUUGCACUGAUGUCAAAGAUUGCCUCGUCAAAGUUUGCACUUCCAAUGGAGAUCGGGAUAACCGGUCUCCCUAGAUCACCUUUCUUGGCUGGUAGAGACGAGUCUAACCAUGUUCCUAUCGGAGGGUCACUCUAGUAACUUCGUGCAUUAAGGAUGUCUACACGAUUUGUUGUUUCUAAUUCUCCUGGUUGUCCAGGAAUCUUACCUUGAUCAUUGGCGGCAGCAAAAGGACCAAGCUGUUGUAGCUGAGAUUCUAGCAUCUUAUUGAAGCUAAGAUGAUUCCUAAUAGUAUUUGAAAAGCUUUCCAUUCUAAUAUUAAUUGAUUCUAAAGUUUUGUCAUUAGAUGCUAGCUUCUUAGAUAGGCUAUGCAUUAGCUUACCUUGAUUAAGCACUAACUCUCUCAAAGGUGGUUGAUUAGUGUUAUUGUAAGAAUUAUUACCUUGGUAAUUACCUGAGUGGUUACGUAGUAGUUAGGCCGCUGUUGCUUGUCCUAGCCUUGAUUUUGCUAAGGACAGUAGUAGUUGUUGUUGAUGUAGUUCACGUCCUCCCUCAGCUUUGGGCAGUUGGUACAUGUAUGCCCAGUUUCUCCACACUCUUCACAAGUCAUGCCUGAAUCAUGAAUGUUCAUGACUUCCUUCUUCUUAGUGGCUCUUUCAUCAAGCCUCUUCAUUAGCAGGUACAUCAUAGCAGCUAGCAUGUCUACCUCCUUGAGCUGGUGCAUUCCUCCACCCUCUUGUGGGUCUGAGUUCUUUCUUCACUCCAACCUUGAUUGGAGGCCAUCUUUUCCACAAGAGCAGUUGCUUGAGAUAUAGUAAGUGAUAAGAAUGCUCCUCCAGUGGCACCUGUUGGGUAUUCUUAACAUCAUUACCAAAAGUAGACUUUUUCUAAUUUUGAUAACGGUGCCAAAAAUGCCAAACCUAUCCCUCACACCACUUAAGCCAAGUUGUCAUCCCCAGCAUGACAUGAGAGAUGUGGUAUUGAAAUAUGCAAUUGCUCUUCUAAAUAAAUAAUGAAUGGGAUCUGCAAGUGCACAAAUAGAUUAAUACCAAUGUAGCAUUUUAACCGGAAAGUAUUCUAGGUAUCGUUAUUUAUAUUUUUACCACUGGGAAGGGAUUAGCAAUCAUCAAUAAUGAUUAUAGAAUGGAAUAUGAGAUUGAGUAUGUUUCAUUGCAUGUAUAAUUGAGAACAUUUAUCUAACUCUUUCAUACAGGGAUAAGUGUCACAUAAAAGAUAUAUGAAGUAAUGAAUAGUGACAAAGAUAAUUAAUCUGAUCAGCAUAACUUAGCCACAUAAUAAAUAUGAUAAGCACCUCAAUUAGAUACUCUAGAAAGUCAUUAGCAUGGUAUUAGAACGAACUACAAGAAUAUUUCCUAAGUUAUUCUCAACUACAUAGUCUAGCAUUAUCAUAGUUAGUGCAAGCAUACAUAGCAAUCAUUGCGAGACAAGACUACGCCCAUGCAUAGUGAUAUUAGCAAGGUAAAUGAGAAACAUAGCAAUCACUCCCCUAUAAUAAUGUUGCUCUGCCAGCCCAAUACAUGAGAGGGGGACUAUAUAAGAAUCAAUGAAGCUGUCACUAUCAGGAACUACCCCACGAUCUGGCAUAUUGGGUACAAUCACAGAUAAAUACGGUAUAAGCACCACGCCUACAUAAUAUCUAUCAUUUACCCAUGGAUCCGAUGGAUAAAUGCUAUACGAUCCUAAGCAUGUAUAUAGAUCCAAUCUAACUAAGCCAAGUAUAUAACCAUGAUAAACUAAGAACAAUAUAAUCUUGAAUAUAAACAAGUAGAGCAAAGUCAUAAGCAAUAUAUUGAAGUAGAACAAAGUCAUAUUCAUAACAUGGAAGAACAUAGAUGAUUAGAAGAACAAUUAGAAGAACAAUUAGAGAAUUACCAAGAAUCCUCUUGACAGAUCCGGAAACCAAUCGAAGAUUGACUCCUUCUAGUUCUAAUCCUAUGUAGCUAUGCUAAUCUAGAUAUCUAAUUGAUGUGGUGACUCUAAUCUUGAUCAGAGGCUUCUUCUCCCUUGAGGAAUAAUGAAUUAGGGUUGAGAGGCUCUCUCCUCUAGGGGCCAGGGGGUCUGGUUUUAUAGUCCCUUCAAGUGAAUAUGGGCCGUUGGAUCAAACCGACAUUGAUUGGACGGUUAUCCUUGAUCCUUUAGGUCGGUGGAGAUUGAUCCCGAAAGAGAGUCCUGAUCCAACUUUGUGAGGGGGCGGGCGCCCAGUGCCUGGCCCCGUUCGGCCUCCGCUUCCUUCCCGUGGCUUCUAGAGUCUUCUAGAUGUAAGAUAAUUGCGCGGCACGUUGAUAUCUCUAUGUAAUCCCGACAUGUGGACCUUUCUUUCGUAUUUCCUGAUAACCCCCUGCAGAAAUAGACAAACACUAAAACUCAUGGAAUUCUGUCAGAUAAAACCCUAAGUCUGGAUGUUGAUUACAUUUGGAUCCUUUUCUUUGUUUAUUUGAUAAUUAAAUUUGAUACUUAAAGACCGUCAACAAACUCCCCCAAGCUUACCUCUUGCUCGUCCCUGAGCAAGGAUAGACUCAGCAAUGAAUCAGAAGUUGUUGCAAUAUCUUUAAAAAUUGAUGGUACAUAUGCUUUUAAAUAAGAUCUCAUCUCUGAGUUAGAGUAAACUGUCAAGACUUAAAAAUUAUUCAUUUUACCUUUCACCAUGGGACUUGUAACCGUCUCUUCUGUCUUGAGUAGUUAAAAGAUAGAACGGUCUAGUCAAGUGCCAUGUCUCUUAUUAUUGAUUAGCUAUAGCUCUAGAGUUUUUGUAGAUUUUCAAAUAAAAUUCAGAGAUUCCUUAUAUGACUCUCUCAUAUCUCUCUUUGGUGGUAUUUCUGGAUCCUUACCAAGGCAGUGAUGGUAUAUGCCUUCUCUCAAAAUUAUAUAGUAUUUGUGGUAUAAGGCAUAGUGACAUUGCCUUCUCUCUCAUCCUACUCUAAUAAGGUUUUAAUAUCUGGAGCUCAUAGGUGGGAGAUAAAGUAUACAUACUCACAAGACAUUUAUUGUAUACUCAAACCAUGGAUCCAAAGAAACAAAUCAAUAAGUCAAAUCAAGAUGUGCAUGUGUGGCGAAUGAAUGGUGUAUGGUGAUGAUGGUGAUAACAAUGGUGAAAGUCUAAUUCUACUUUUGCUCUUUUGGGGGGAUACAUACCUUUCUUGCUCUUUUGAAACUUUGUGAGGAGAAUGAGAUGCUUUUCUUUUCUUUUUCCUCUCGGGUGGGUAUCUUGUACCCUAAUUCUACUGUCGGACACUUGUCCAUUUUCACCUCUCGUCUCACUUUUUCUUUUCUUUCGAGGUUCCGGGCACUUGCCCCUUUUUAUUUCCUCGUAUCCCUUUUUUUCUCUUCUUUUUUUAGAGCACUCAUCUCUUGAGGUAAUAUAGAAAGUGGUAGUAACAAGAUAACUUGAGCAUUUAUUUCUCAAGGAAAAAACAGAAAUAUUUUUGGCCAUUCUCUCUCGGAUUAGAGUAGAAUAUUUUUGGGUGGUUCUGGAGAUGGAAAUGGGUGGAUAUAUGUGGAUGGUACUUCCGGAGUAGAAUCAACAUAUGUGAGUGAACGUGCAAGUAAAUCUUGAUUUAACCACAUGACAAGCUCCUAAGGGUCUAACAGCUUGACCACACUCAAUGCUUGUAAGUAGUAAAUAGUAAAUGUGUGGCUCAAAGUCUACCAAGCAUGUAUAUAUGGCUGUGGUAGGAAUUUAAACUCUCAUCAUACAGGAACUCAUCAUGUAUUAUUUUAAAGAUUUUCAAAGAUAAUAUUCUCCAGAAUUCUAUCAUCUCUAGGAACAGAUAAACAACAGCUCAACCUUCCCAUAUCAUAUGCGUUAACAACUUAGACUUCAGAUCAAGUUUUCUUCCCACAAGUUUAGGUUUAGAGCAAGCUUUAAAUUAUAACAGUUAUGUCUAAACUUGAGAGACAACUUCAAAAUUUUAAAAAUUAGGCAGAGCAACUAUUCAUCAUAUCCCUCCUAGAGUUUUAGAUUAGC
rnacentral:lncRNA from 1 species